rnacentral:lncRNA from 1 species
AAAAAACUGGUAACUGUUUGUUUCUCCUUCUGUGGUCUCGAUCUACUAUAGUUUGUGUUUUGGGUGUUCCGUUAGUAUUUUUUUUUUUUUGAAAAGUUGUUGCAGUGGCCAUGGAUGGUACAUGAGAGUUAUUUCUGUAGAAGAAAAGAAAAAAAAAGACUAAUUUUGUGAUUUAAAAAACUAGGCAAUGUGACAAACUGGGCAUAGGGUUCUGUUAUGUUUAUUUUUUUUUAAAAAUGAUUUUGAGCCGUUUGGUUCCACUAUAGCUCACCAUCAUGAAAAGUCGUGUCCUUUGUGGCUUUCUUACAAUUCUACUUUACUCUUACUCUACUCAAGAGUUAAGAUUCCUUUUUCAAAGCACUUCAUUACCCAUCGGACAUGAAACUUAUUUAUUAACUAUGUUGGCAUGUCGACCUUUGGUGUACAACAAAAAACAACCUAAAGCCAUGCCCUUGUAUUUUUGGCCAAAACAAGAGAGAGUAAAAAUCUAUGCUUUCCUCCUAGGGAGUAUCAAAAUGUUUGUCGGACUAUCCCAAAAGUCUUCAGUCACCUUUUUAAACUUUUAAACUUUUUUAAGGUAUCCAUGCCAUUAUCCACAACGGUAAAAUUACUCACCUCACUCAACUAUAUUUUAUUAACUUUUUUAACACUAUUAACAUUAAUCACUUGUUUACAUUGAAGAUCUACACUAUUCACUCACGCAUACAUUCAAGACAAGGUUAUUAUUAUUAUUAUUAUUAUAUGAGAAAGUGUGUACCUUUAAUAAUGGGUAAGGCUAAAUUUUGCCUUUUGGACCGUUGGGUACAAUUUAAAAAAAAAAUUAAAUUAGUUUAUUUUUGGUAAGGAUAUCCAUUUAACUGCAAUUAACAGUGCCGACAGCAUGAAAUUGUUUCUAUAUCUUAUCCAUGCAUUUGUAAUCUUUUUAUAACAACAGUGCUUCCACUAAGAAAUAGUAGUAACUGAUUCUUUUUCAGUCAAUGUUCUCAAACCAAAACCCACUACAGGACUAGUACUAUGUAUACAUCAAAUAAACUAAGACACUAUUUACUAUGUAAAUAGUUCUCUCAGUAUGUAUUUGCAUGUUCCCAAAGUUCCAUUUCACCAUGACAGCACUCCCAUAAAAAGCAGAAAGAUUAUGUGUGCAUGAACAUGGUAAUUUGUGCCAACAUAUUAAGACAACAUUUGGACCAAUAAUUAUGCUAAAAGAGUAAUUUAUGGUGCAAGGUAAUGCUUCUAGCUAACAUAGUUCAUGCAGUAAUGGUGCAAGGUAUUACUGUUCAUCCCAUUACAAAUUAGUAUGUAUAAUAACUAUAACCUGAUUUUAACUAGAACAUCUGACAAAAGUGCAAUAUGGUGGAUUUGCAGGUAUAGCAAACUCACAAAUCACACCAUAAGAACAGGUGGUGGAUCAAAUUUCUCCUCUUUGGAGUGGACAUCAAUUGCUUGGGCCACAGGUCUAGCUUUGGCUGCUCCAAUUCUGGGGUUCGUUUCCUUCCAUCUUGAUGGCCACUUCCCAAAGCUCAUCACAGCAGCAGCCACAGGCAUCGGAGUAUUCUUCUGCCUCCCUGCAGGCUUCUUCAAAGUCACAGCCAUCUUCGUUCCCUACAUUGCUGGCAUUGUUGCAGCCAGCACAGUCGCCACUGCUGCUCACACCCACCACCUUGGCCUCAUGAUCCGCUGCUUCACAGGACCAACCCUCAAGAGAAGCCAAUUCUCCAUCAGACAAGCAGUCUCCAGCAGACUCUCCCUCCACGCCACGGCGGCUGGAUGCCUUGGAGCCGCCAUAAUCUCCUCCUUCACAUACCAUAUGCUUCGGGAACUCAAUGACAAUGAGCGUGAUGUCAUGAGUCUCUGGGUUGUUUCAAUCUUCAGUGGCCUGAUAUGGCUUGUGGGGGUGUUGCACAUUGUCACAUCCAUCAGCAGAACCACUGAUUCCAUCUCUUUCUCCUCAAGACUCCACCCCUUUUCCAUCUUCAAGUACCCUCAUGCAAUUGGAGGCCUUGCUGGGGUUUUCCUCUCCUCGUUCACCACCAUGUCGAUUUUCACUGGGGGAGUGAUCUUCAUAGUGGGACAACUCUGCAUCAAGCCCCUGCACUUACUCUAUUUCUGGCUAACUUACUUCCUCUUCCCUCUUGUUUCUCUGUCGUUAUUACAACCCUUGAUGCACGUGAUCAAGAUGAAUUCUGUGAAAAUGCAAAUAGUGGGGUUCCUUUUGUCUCUCUUGUCAUCUGGCUUUGGAUUCUACUACGGCCACAGCCACUGGAAAUGGGGUCACUUGGUGUUAUUUGGUGCAGUUCAAAGCACAGCAACAGGGAUUCUGUAUGCUUUUGGGAGGCUCUUGGUGUUGGACUGUGCCCCCUCAGGGAAAGAAGGUGCAUUCUCGAUCUGGUACGCUUGGAUGAGAGCUGCAGGGUUGUGCGUGGGGUUCACGGUGGGGUCGGUGGCGCCGGGGCGAAUCAGGACUUCAUUUGGAGCUGCGUUUUGCACUGCCAUAGCUGGAAUUGUGGUGCUGCUAUUCGGGAACAUCAGUGAUGUGGGAGGUGCUGUUGCUGCGGGGCAUGUCAGAGAUGAAUGUGAGAGAAGUUCGUCGGGUGUGGCUGGCUUGGAUUCUAAAGAAUCAGCACGCGUUUGAAUAACAGAAAGUGAUGAAGAAGAAUAUUGUUGUCUUUGUGCGUUAUAUGAUGAUUCUUUGCAAAUGAUGUUAAUGCAUGCAAGAGUAUAAGGCUUUUUAUUUUAUGAUUGAUUUUAGAUGUAUUCUGGUAGUUAAUUGUUGUUGUUGUGCAUGCAUGAUGUUUGGUCUCUCUGUUCAGGAUUUGGGUGCUGAUGAUGACAUGUGUAACUGUGUUAUACUAUUUUCUCAUAUUUGUCUCUCUUAUACAUCAUUUCUCCCUAAAACUCUUCUAACUAAUUAACUGCUUUUUAUCCCUUAUUCUACUUAUAAUUUCCAAUUUUUAAAACUUUUUUUUUUUUAUAUCUCAAAUAUAUGCUUUUAAUUAAUUCUUUAAAUUAUUUCUGUAGUUUCUAUUGCAAUUGCCAUAAACUAUUAUUUCCAGACGAUGAUCCUAUUUAAAUAUAUCCAACGUUUUGAUGUAUUAACUGAAAAUUAUUGAGACCUACGAAAUAACGUGCAUCUCUUUAAACAUUAAAAUGUGAAAAAAAGUUUUUGUUUUGUAUUUUUCAAAAAAUAUAACAAAAAAAAACUUGUUUAACACGAUUUUUUUUAUUGUGCUAACAGAUAGUUCAGAACACAGUGUAAAGUUUCUUUUAUAUUCUUUUAAAAUUUUUAACAAAGCGGAAACUUAAGAAAUUGUUUUUUUAAACCCUAAACCUUAAAUUCUUAUAUUAUUUGAAAAAAUCAUAGAAGAUUUUUUUGUAUUAAAGUUUUCUUUUUUUUUUUCAGAAGAAGAAUCAUACGACAAAAAAAGUUCCAUUGAGUUAAUUUUUUCGUAAAAAAAUUUAAUAGGGGAUUUUUUUUUUCGUUUCUUAAUUUUAAUAAUGAAAGUAUGCUUCUUUGAGAGUUUUUUAACCUAAAUAUAUCAAAAGAAUAUGGUUUCUUUUCACUUCGAUUGGGACUUUAAUAGUAAUUUGGGGGUACGAAUAAAAGACUAUACCUUCUUAGUGUACACAGUGGCGAGCUACGCAGCCCAAAAUAUUGAGCUCCGCUGCUAACUAGAAACAAUGGGCAAAUUCUUUCUGCACCUUCAUCGUUUCUUCUGGCACCCUCAUAUUUUUGGAAAUACCAAAAUUGUCCAUUCUGAAUUUUACAAUUUAGAAUCCAAAUUUUGUAUUGAGUUUUAUAAUUUGAAAUACAAAAUUUGCAUCCAAAUUAUACAAUUUGAACUAUUUCUAUUUUGGAUUGUACAAUUCAAAAUAAAAAAAAAAUUGUAUUUCAGAUUUUAGAAUACAAAUUUCUCACUUAGACGAUGAAGGUAAAAAGACUAUUGCGACAGUGACGUGGAUGUGAGAGAUGUUAUGACGUUGAAGGUGGGGGUGCAGGAAGAAAUCGUGGAAACAAUAAAGCCCAAAUUAGCCAGAUCUUUACCUCAAAAUUAAACAAAAAAUAGAAUUAAGAAAAAAAAAACGCAAUCCCCAAAAUCGAAGGGAAGAAAAAACCCUUGAGCAAUCGCAGGUUUGAAGGUUUGGGUUGGAUUGUGCAGAGUGCAAAAACUGGAAAUCAGUGAAGUCGCCAUGCUUCGUUGUUUGACGAAACUUCGUUGUCUCGCCGUUCAAUCACGCCAAAUUCUACCACCGCCCUCUUCUCGCCGUCUCCUCCAUCAUUUGCCGUCGCAACCGCUUCACUCUGCUUCCACUUUCCGUACUUCUUCUCCUCCGUCCUUUGUUUUCUCUUCAUGGCCUCUCCACGUAUCCCAUCCUUGCCCUUCCGUAAGUCUUCGAUGUAAUUAUUUAGAGUUUGUCAUUCCGAUCGUGAUUGUGAUAGCAGUUUAAUUUGCUGUGCAUAGUUGGUUCAAGUGCGCCACGUGUCGUCCAGGGAACGAAAACUCAGAAGAAAACCGAUGACUCCUACCAUUUCCAAGGUUAAGAAAACCAAAAUGAAAUCUUAUUCGUAAGUUUCAUCUUCGUUACUCGCAUAGUUUGUGUGAAUUUUUCUUUUUUUUUUUCUUUUGUUUGUGAUGAGUAAGUGAUUUUAAUAUGGUGGGAGCAGGUCUUUAAAAUUAAGAUUCAGAGAAAUGAGUGAUGGGAACUUCAGGCGCUGGAAGGAAGGCAAGCGUCACAAUGCUCAUCUUAAGGUUCAGUUUUUUUCUUUCUGGAUUUAAUAAGGUUUUAUGAUAUGUGAUGAUAUAACCCAAUUUAGAUAAACUUCUCAGUAAGUGUUUAUAGGGGGCGAAAUAAAAAAAAUGUAAAAUGAAUUAAACUUCUUUUAUAAGUUAUAACUAACUUAUCACUUCACUUCAACUUUUACGGAAGCUCUCUGAUCUAUAUUCUCCAAAAGCUGUGGUGCAUAAGGUAUUAUGGAGGAGUUUAAUUCCUUUUCCUUUUUAUUUUCUUUCCCUGUAAGUUUUUGCAGAUAAAUUUAUCCAAACAGGCCCUUUGUGAUUAUAUGUUGGAAUGUGAGUUUCUUGUUGGUGGUUUUGUCUAGAAUCCUUGAUAAUUUCUGUUGUUCCAGGGUAAAUAGCCAGAUAAAUCAUGUCAUGUCAUACUCAUUCCUAAAAUUCCUUUCUCAACAUUUCAUGAGGUGCAAAUAAAUCACCACGUUUAUCUUGACUAAGUUAUUGACUUGUUCUUAUUCACAGUGGACUGUUGCUGUCCUUCCUAAGCAAGAUUCCUAUAGCAUUUCUAGUACGUUACAUGCGGAAGUAAUUAAAUAAAUUGGUCGAACACUUAAUUGGAAACAGUGGCAAGUUUCUUUCAGAGAGAAAUUGCUUUUGAAAAUGAAAUCAUAAUUGCUGUUUCUAACUUAGUAGCAAGAUUGUGAUUUGGAUUUCUUCAUUUGCCGAAAAUAGAGCAACAUGUGUUUCCUUAGGGUGUAUAGUUGUGAAAAUUAGGGUGAUGAGGCAAGGCAAUACUUAUGGUAUGCUUGUAGAUAAUGGUAUUAACAAGAUUUGAAAAAAGAAACAAAUUUCAGAAUCUGGUGCCAUUGGGAUGGAUGCACCAAUCUAGCAUGAAUACUGGUUUAUUGAAGAUAAAAAUAAUUGUGAAGUUUUCCUUGUUUUGGGUUUUUGCUGUGAUGGAUGUUGUGGUGGUGUCAUACAAUGCAUAACAUGUUUCCAAUUAUGUCAUCGUAGCUGUUGGGGCAGUUGGCACCCAGCUUUAGGAUGACCAUUCCCGUGAUAUGGUUACUUGACAAUUGACAUGAAUACUUACAUGUUUAUGUUUCAUUGCCUCAUUGGUAUACUUCUACAGUAGUAUCUGUUGACUCCUUUAUUAGCUGUCUACUGUGAAAAUAACAUUGUAAGAUGGUAUGGUAUGAUAUAGAGUACAAAACACGAACUUAGUACAUACAUACAUCUGUUUAUAAAUGUAUUUGUGAGCAAGUUUCCUAGUGGGAACAUCCUGUAUUGUAUGUUUGAAACUUUAAAUUAGUAUGCUGUAUUAAGAAAAAAAAUUAUAAUCACAAUGUCACAGAGAAAGCAUUUUGCAGAAAAGUUGUUUUCAUAUAAAAUUCGGCAAAGCGUACGUCUAUGAAGCCUAUCUCAAUAACAUUCAUAACAUGAUUAGUUACAACAACAAAAACUAGGGGUGGCAAAGCGGGCCAGCCCGCCCCGCAUUGGCCCGCCCCGCGCUUGGCCCGCAAAAAUGCGGGUUGGGUUGGCCCGCCCUUCAAAGUUAUUGCGGGCUAGAAUUCUCAACCCGCCCCGCAUAAGAGCUGGCCCGCGGGUUUGCAGGCCAGCCCGCGUUCUUUUUUAUUUUUUUUUAAAUUAAAUAUUUUUAUUUUUUUUUACAUUUUGUUCUUAAAACAUUGUCAAAUUAAACCUAUAUAUUUGCUACUAUCAAACCUAAAUUCUUUUUCUUCCUUUUCAAACAUAAUCAAACAUCAAAACAUUAAGAUAAAUAUCAAAUAUCACUAUUCUUCCACUUCCAAAACAUUAAAAAUACCUAAUUCCAAAACAUUAAACAUAAACAUUAAUUCUAAAACAUUAAACAUAAACAUUAUUGACGCGAUUGUGUUGUGUUUCUUUCUUUAAAAUUUUGUGAAAACCUAAUUGCGUUGCCUUACUGCUGCUAAGUGCCAAUUUUUUUUUUUCUUGCGGGUUAGCGGGCCAGCCCGCCCCGUCCCGCUGCUGGCCCGCAAACCGUGCGGGUUGCGGGCUAAUGCGGGGCGGGCUAAUGUGGGUUAGCGGGUUGAAAAGGUCAGUCUGCCUCUGGUUUUUUACCAGCGGGCCGCCCCGCACGGCCCGCCCCGCUUUGCCAUCCCUAACAAAAACUAGUUGUCCCAAGUCUUAACAUUAUUAGUUAUUAGACUAAAAUUAGGUGGGUAAAAAAUUUGAGUCAUUGGGGGCAAUACAUAGAUUUAAAAUAUUUAAUUUUUAUAUUUAUUAAAAACGAAGCUGUAUAAAUAUUAGAGAUAAUAAACAAUGUUUACAUAUGUGAUUUUGUGGUUUUAAACUGAUUUGCACAUUUUCAAAACAAUGUGAUAGAAGUCAACUUGAUUACUAUAUUCAUACAAACUGUAGAAGUUUAAGAUCAUAUGUACAUAAGAACUGAUGAGGUUAAAUCUUAGGAGUCAAAAGGAGUAUUUGUUAUUUGCUCACUUGUAUACAUCACCUCGUUUAUGUCCAUUGAGCAAUAUAUAACUAUAAAUUUUUAUAUUUACUUAAAUUUUUUAUUGAACCUGUUUAGUGGUAGCCCCUUCAAUUCUUUUUUGCAUGGUUGAUGUAAAUUAUAUACUAUGUACAAAAAAUAAUAUUUUCUUGAGAAUAAGAUUACAGAACAAUUUGUUUGAAUUUUGCCCAAUUUGUUUGUGAUUCUGGUUGGUUUAGACUUUCGAUCAAAGAAUGUAUGUGUGUAAGAUAAAAGUGGAAAAAUGGGUUAAGUUACUUUCUUCCUCAUUUAUCAAUAAAUGUCUAUGGGCAAUUCAGAAUUCACUGCACAAGCAAUUCAAAAGGCACAGUUGUGACAACAAAAAUACUUGUAUCGUAUGUAUGUCUGAAAUGCUGAAUUUGUACUUAGUUGGGGCUAGUUUGGCUCUAGAGCCAGAAUCUCUUAUACCAAAGGCCAGUUUAUAUCAAUGUUAUAAACUGAAGGCAAGGGAUUGAAUUUGAACAAAUUUGAGUAUUUAAAAUGAAAUACAAGAUCAGCCUGCUUACCUGGAAAACAAAAAAGGGUAGGGCAUGGAGGGAGGGACCAAACAGUUAACUACGCUUCUCUUAAAUCUGCUCUCUCAUUACAGUAUUGUAUGGAUUAUAUCUCUACUCCUUUAAAUUGACGAAUUUCUGGUGUCCUCUGCAGUCAAAGAAAUCAAAACGUAGAUUGAGGAAACCUGGCAUUGUCCCUGCGGCUUAUGCCAAAGUAAUGAAGAAGCUCAAUUUUUCUGUUUAGAUAUUGCAAGUUUUGCUGCUGGUUACAGUAUGAAAGAGGACCGGCCAGGUUUUGCAUUUUAACUCCAAUCAUUUGUUGACCUUCAAAUUUUAGAAGAUGUAAAACGAGCAAAUUGCCGAGCAGUUUCUUUUUUCUUUGGAACAGUUAGAAUUGAUGAUAUUUCGAGGUCAUGCUUAUUCAAGGUGGCAUGUUUUAGUUGAUAUUGUGUGCAUUAUUGUUAACAUCCAGUGGCUGAUUGAUCCUUCCAUGUGAUACAUUGGCUUUGGCUUCAGUUUGAUAAAAUAUCUGACUCCUGGAUACAUGUUGUAAUAACGUUUUAAUUACUCAUAAAAACAUAUUAGCGUUUCAAUUAACUUUGGUGUUCGCGUAUUUCGACUGAAAAAGGCUAUUUUUUUUUAUAUAAUCAUAAAGCAGAAACAAAAUUUACAUAAUUAGGUUUAAUGGACCAAUAUUUUUUUUCAAUAAAUAAAUAAAUAAAUUCCAAAGUCAGUCUAUUUUUAUAGUAAAUAAUAAUGCAUUCACUCUUAUACAAAGUUAAUUUGCGCCUUGUAGCAAUGUAUAGGAAUAAUUUGGAUAUUCAUUAUGAAGAGAUACUUAAGCCAAAUUAAAUACUAUUAAAAGCAUUAGAUAAUGAAACAACUAUAUUUUUCACUAAGAAAUAAAGCUAAUCUGAUGUACUGCAGGAUUUUCCUUCAACCAUUAUUUUUGGAUUUACUAUUCCCAUCAGAUACAAAAUCCAAGGACAGUAUUAAAUGCCACAUUUUGCCAAUUUCUUGCCAUGUAACGACUUACAAAGUGAAGUUAUUAUAUUUUUAAAUUAUUCCUUUGCUUUUCAAAUUUUACUAUUUUCUCUGAUAAGAUUUUUGGUUGCAACUUCCAUUUGAUGACCCAAGAAAAUAUGAAGUUUUUAGUACUCAUAUAGCAAUUUUAAUCUCAAUUUCAUGAAAGCCAAUAAUUAAAAACAGUGAAAUUACAAAAUCACACUUAAAAAAAUAAAACAGGGACAUUGCACUGGAUAGAUAUCAUUACGAAUCAUCGUCUUUUGAGUAGACAAUACAAAAUUCUCUUAACGUGGAUUUGUGCUACUCAACAAUAAUUGGAUCUUAUGAAGUUACUUUUAUAUUUAAUUCAUAUAAGUGAUAAAAUAGAUUGAUAGUAAAGUCCAAGUCUUGUUUGGAUUUAUUGGUGUAAGCAUUAAUGAUUGAUCUCUUAAAAUAUCUUUUAAGAUUGAUGAAGUCACUACAAACCUAUAUAGAAGAGAGAUGAAAUUGAAUAUAUAAUGUAAAAGUGUUCAUUUAAUAAAUAAAACUAUAUCUUUUUUUUUUCAAAGUCAAAGAGUUCACAUUUCUCUUUUCAUUAUUCUUCUUUCACUUAUAUUUUCUUUAGAUUAGAGAAUGAAUUUUAAAUAAUUCAAAAGAAAAGUGUAAAACUAGAUUGUUUAGAUUAAAGUAAAUAAACAUCUAUAUUAUCAUUUUUCAUUGUCUUUUCCAUUUUCAUUACUCAUCUUCUCAAAAUUAAAAUAUUAAACUCAUUGAUUAUCACAAACAAAAUCAUAAUAUCAGUUUUGAAUAAUUAUAGUUUGGAUUUUUUUUUCCUUCUUGAAAGUUAUUUGGGAUUUUUGUGUGUGUAUGUUUAUCUUAAUCAAAGAAUAAAUUUUGUAGAGCACAAGAAAUAUUGAGAUAAAGAAGUUAAUAUUGUUCACUUUUACAUUUUUUUAUGUUAAUUAAGUAUGAUUUUUGUAUCUAAAAAAAUUUGGCCAAUAUAAAAGUUAUACAUAAUUUAUAUUAGUUUUAGCUUUCAAUCAAGAUAAAAACUAACAUGAAGCAAUGAUAUUUGGUAAAGAUAAAUAUAAUUAGGUAUCAAAAUUUCAUUUUUUAUUAUCUUGUGGUGUUAUGCUUGAGACUAUAAAAUCAAACUAUCAAAUCACUCUUAAUUGAUGGUAGGGACUUAAUUGCAAAAUAUAAAAAAAAAUUAGAUAUUGAAUAAAAUAUUUUUUUUAAUAGAGAUUCAAUUAAAAAUAAUCAAAUUCAUUAAAGAAUAAAAACUUAAUUAUUAUUUUUAUUUUCCAUGUAAAAACAUAUAAGCAAUCACUACACAAAAUCAAUUAAAAAAAUAUCAAAAAUUUAAUACUUAAUAUAAAAAAUAAUUAAAAAUAUUUUUUUUUAGAUUUAAAAUUUAGUUAAGUGUUUAUGUCUUAUAAGAUGUUAAAUUUUAUAACAUAAAAAAAGAAAUAAAGAGUAAAAAUAUUAUCAAAAUCUAAUUAAAUGAAAAAAAAUAUAAGCAUUGUUAGUAUUCUUCUAGUUUAUGUCUAAUUUAUUUUUUAUAAUUUUUAAUUUUCCACUUGAUUUAGAAAAAUAUAUUCUUUUUCUAUCAUUCACUCAAUUUCUUUCUUCUUUAUGUAAGCAUAUAUCCUUCAAGAAGAAAUCUUCGUCUUUUGAGUAGACGAUACAAAAAUCUUUUAGGGUCUGUUUGUUUCCAGCAAAGAAGAACGCAAUUUUACUGUGCUAGAGAAAAGCGUGAAAAAUAAUGUAAAAAGCACGAAAAUCUAAACAAUAUUUGCACUCUAAACUUUCUUCGCUCAACUGCGAAGAAAGUUGAAUAUAUAUAUAUAUAAUUAAUUAGUUUUAAUUUACUGUUUUAUCCUUUAUAUUUUAAACAAAUUAUUAUUAUUUAUAUUUAAAAUAGAAUUAUAAAUUAAAUAUAAAAAAUAUAUUUAAAAUUAUAUGAAAAUAAUUAUUAUAAAAUAACAUAAUUAAUCAUAUUAUAUAUAUAAUAAAUUAUAAACAUAAAUAAUAAUAACAAUAAAUAUACUUUUUAAGUCUAAAAAAAUAAAUUUAUAUAAUAAUUAUAUUAAUUUAAAAACUUUAAAAUUUAAAAUAAUAAUGUUAUUUAAUAUAAAAAUAAUUUUUUAUCAAAUAUUUAUAAUAAUAAAUAUUUAAAUAACAUUUUUAAUACAAAAUAAUUAUAAUUUAUAAAUAAAUAAAUUAAAUUAAAUUUUUAACAAUUUUAAAUGUAAGGGCAAAUAUGUAAAGUUACAUUUUUAUCAAUUAAAAAAAAUACAAUUUCAAUCAUACCCAUCACAUCACUCACAAACUUUCAUAAACUUUUUUCACACUUUUCACUUUAUUUACCUUAAUCUAAACAUCCUAACUUUCUUUACACUUUCUCCUCAAAAUAUCUCAAAUCCACUUCCUCAUUUCCACUCUUUAAUCCAAACAAAGCAUUAAUGUGGAUUUGUGCUACUCAACAAUAUUUGGAUCUUAUGAAGAAACUUUUAUAUUUAAUUCAUGUAAGUGACAAAAUAGAUUGAUAGUAAAGUCCAAGUCUUGUUGGAAUAUAUUGGUGUAAACAUUAAUGAUUGAUCUCUUAAAAUAUCUUUUUCGAUUGAUGAAGUCACUAAAUUCUUCAAUCUCUUCAAAUAUUCUUUAGCACAAGAAAUUGUAAAUUUUAAUUUUUUAAUCCAAACAAAGCAUUAAUGUGGAUUUGUGCUACUCAAUAAUAUUUGGAUCUUAUGAAAAAAAAAUUAUAUUUAAUUCAUGUAAGUGACAUAAUAGAUUGAUAGUAAAGUCCAAGUCUUGUUGGAAUAUAUUGGUGUAAGCAUUAAUGAUUGAUCUCUUAAAAUAUUUUUUUCAAUUGAUGAAGUCACUAAAUUCUUCAAUCUCUUCAAAUAUUUUUUAGCACAAGAAAUUGUAAAUUUUAAUUUUGAAAAUUUACGUCCUACUGAAGCUAUAGUAACACGAAUAAUUGAAAUAUUUAUAAGUUAUCUCUACUUCUUGAAGAUACUUUACCUUCUCUACAAUAUUUAAUAUUUCAAGUUACAUUUUACUUAUAUAUAUAUAUAUUAAAUUACUUCAGAAUGCAGUUUUUAAUUUUCAUAAUGGUUAAAAAAAGUUAAAGCUCCGUUUUACAACUUGAAGAUGGAAGUUCAUUAAAUAGGUUCAUCCAUAAAAGUUUUAAGAGAGAAAAAAGGUAAAUUAUCCUUGCACCUCCAUACUUUUCCAAUGUAUUUUCAUAUUUUUUUUAAUUCGGAAUGCAUUUUCAUAAUUUUUUUAAUUCGGACAAUACCCUUCUAAAUAAGGAGUAAAGUAUAAUAUCUUCUUCAUUUUCAAGUGAUGAUAAUUACUUGUGAUGGUUGCUUGGAGUGACUAGUGCGUUGGUGAUUGAGAUAAGUUUUAUAGUGUUUUUUUACUAGUGGUAGUUGUGUUUUCGUUCGCUUAUUGUUUUUUUUUUCUUCAUUUUUUAGAAGUCACAAAACUAAAAAUUGUAAAGUAGUUAGUUUGAAAAAUGGAAUACACAACUCAAAAAUAAUUUAUCUUUACAUUGAAAAACAUCAAAUACAACGAAUAUUCUCUCAAACGUUGUGGCAGGAAAAGAAUAAAAGUGAUGCGACUGGAAGGGAGGUAUGAAAGUACAAUUGAAGUUAUUUAAAAAUAUAAAGUUAUGCUUUAUUUAAAUUUUUUAAAAAGGUUUAAACUGAAUUUUCAUAAUUAAUAUGGAGGUGGAGGAAAAAAUUGUCAAGAAAAAAUGAGAUUAGCAACUUCCUCGAGACGAUUUAAAGACUUUUGUCAUGUUUCAAAAUUUUAAAAUGGUGUUCAGAGGAGGAUAAGGAUACUAUUUCUUUUCAUUUAAACUUAAGGAUGUUAUGAAUUUGAUUUUAAGAUUAAGACCAUUUUAGCCUAGAUUUUAUGAUCAAAAGUUUAAUAAACUUCUCUGCAUAAUACAUCUCUUCUUCCAAACAUAUUUUUUUACAAAACUUAAAGAACUUAGUAUGGCUUCCAAUAUAAUAUUACAAGAAAUGGUGCUUAUGUUCUCACUCUUCGUGUGUAGCAAUAAGGUAUGCAAUGGAAGGUAUGGCAUUUCAAGGAAUGUCCUGAAAUCGCAGCUGGGACUUAAUAUGGUAGAGAUUAUGACAGAGGUGUCCACAAUUUCAGCCGAUUACUGCAAGCAAACUUUGUCUGACUGCUGGAAUUGAGCAAAGUAUAGAUCCAAAUAUACCAUUCAGAGCAUAAGCAAUGGCACAAAAUGGAAGAGCCUCAGGUUCCUUGGCAGAUAAAGCUGCUGUUCCAAGCCCAUGAGAACUGCAUAUAUUGAUCCAAGAGCAAGAAAUAUAUAAGCAUAUAUGCUUCAAGAAGAAAAUAGUUUAAUCUACCUUAAUGGCUUUUUUCUAAAGUAAUCAGAUUUUUCCAUGUCCAAACUACUACUAAGCUAAAUUAGGCACAGUGCACAUUCAAAAGCACUGUUUAAAGACUAUUGCUUAUGAUGGUAAUUGAAGAUUGGUCUGCACUCUGCAGACAUCAUGGUUUCUUAGUCAAAUGAAGUAUCUAUGAAUUACAAAAUAUACCUUGACGCGGUUGCUAUGCCACGAGCAAUUGGGUCACGAAGACGGAGUUUAUCAAGUGUUGAUUGCGCAAAAUUUGCACCAACUAAACCAGUCACUACAACUGCAGCUGCUGUGAUUGAUGCAUUGGCACCUGCAGACAUGGCAAAAUUUCGAAGAUGAAAUCGCUUCUGCUUCAAGAGGAGGCAUGGUAACAAACUAGGAUUUCGUAACCUUUUUACAUUUAUUGAAUUAAAUCCAAUUUAGAUUCACUGUAUACAUAAUGAUUGUGACAAGUGACCAUGCAUAACAUGAUGUUUUACCUUCAAAAAGAGACACAAUGCUGAGAGCCAACGCCACUGUUAUACAUCUGGGUAGAAUGGAUACAGUUAGGGAUGGUUCUAAAGCAACUAGACGUCCAACAAGGGCAGUUGAAUACAAUGAGAAUAUGGUAGAGAUUAUGACAGAGGUGAAAAUCUCAGCUGCAUGCCUCUUUACAAGCUGAACACAGUAGAUAAAUCAUUAGUCAAUGCUUUAAUGGAUUUUAGCCAUUGUUAAUUAUAUGGAUGGAGAAGACAAUGAAGACUUUGGCUACAUGAGCUUAUCUGAAUAUAUAUUUGUUCAAUUCAAGUAAGAUCAAACUCUAUAAAGUCAUUUGCAAAUAACUAUCCUGUUCUCCUUAUAAAGGUGUUUUCUAAUUUGGCAAGAGGAAAAAAAGAAACAGAUUAAAGAAAUAACAAAAAAGAACAGUAAAAGUGGACGAGCAUGCAACACAAUUGAUUAUGCUAUACACAUAAUUGACUAUAUUGCUAAAAUAAUAGGUGUUCUGAAGUGUUUUUUGUAUACAUAAUCGAAUACAGGACACCCAUAAUUAAUUAUGGGACACCACUAUCGAUUAUAACUUUUUCUUUUAUUAUUUUUUGUUUUUUCUAUUAUUAUCUUAUUUUUUACUACCUUUCAAUUCAUUUCUUUUUAUCAUUUUCUAGUCCUUCACUUUCACACCAUCCAAGCAGUAGUGAUCAUUAGAAAUCUAGAUGGUUACCUUUCUUUGUUUGAACAUAGAGAAGGCAAAUGAGAGAAUAACAGAUCCCAAAAAUCCCAUUAGAAUGUCACCGGCACCAGGAUUGGAUGAUGAGUUUGUAAGGUAAUAUCCUGUGAGUGUCAAAAGAAGAAUCAGCAAAAUUAUAUCAAAGCUAAGUCAUAGAUGUUAGUGUCUAUAGAUAAAUUAGCCCUAGACUUAGUGCUACACUUCUACAUUAAUGUUGUUACGAGACCAUAAAUCAAAUCAAAUAGUGUGAUCUUAGCUCAAGAGUAACUGUCAGUUAUUUUCUUAUAACUCAUUGUCAUACUAAAAUUUAAUUAAUGAUUAAUCACAUUUGAACUUAACAUGGGGAGUGGGAAAAGGCUUUAAAUGCUUACAGUAACUCAUAAGAUGUCUGUAGUCAAAAUAGAAAUUUCUAUUUCCUAGUUAAAGUAGGCCAUCAAAGAACAACUUAGUGCUCAUUUGGUUUACCAGUGCAAAUGCUCCAAACUAUGUUUGAGCAAAAAGAAGACUUUUUCUUCGAGAAAUCUUGCAUCAUAAAACUCAAAUUUAACUUUUGCAGAAAUUUGUAUCCAAAACAAAUAGGCCCUUAUACAAUAUAGAGUUGAAUAUUAACUUUAACUAAAUUUGCACCUAAAACAGCAUCAAGCCCUGACUUAGAAAGAAACCCCAAUGCAAUUGCUGCUAGCUCUGCAGAUGCUGCACAAAAAAUUAUUGGGUGGAAGACCUUCUUCAAGCCUGAUGGCAAUCUGAAAACAAAGGGAGGGGAUAAGAAAAGGCAUAGCUACAGUUAGUUCUAAUAAAAUCCAAAUACAAUGUUCCAUGACAGUAUCACAUUUUUUCUCCAUCUAAAUCAUAAACAAAGAAAGAAAAAGUAACUGCCCCCAGAACCAGCCAUGUAAAGAGUUCAAUGUAUAUGCAGUAAUGAAAAUGAACCUUUACCCUGAACCAAUCAUGUAGCCUAAAACUGUAGACGCAAGCAAGAAUGGAAGAUAUGUUCUGGCUCUUGUCCCCAAUGCUGUUGGAAAAACCAAUGAAGCAGCAAAGGAUAUAAGGAGAACCCCAGUCCAUGCCCACACUUCAAUGGAAGAAAAUGGAGAUGGCCUCUCCAUAGGCUCAGCAUCGAUCAAUUCUGUCUUCACAGCUUUCCUCACACCUAUAGCUGUCAAACCAGUUACACAAAGUGUAGCUAGCCAUCCUCCAACUGCAAAAGUUCAACAAGUCUCAACUCUCAUAAUGAAAUUGUAACAUUUAGACUCUAUUUACAUAAACUUCUCCGUAAAAAAUUAUAGGUGAAAACAUUAAGAAGACAAAGUGAAUUGUGUUCAGAAUCAACUUCUGCAAUUAACUUAUUUUCCAUCUAUCCUCGGUACUUAUGAGAAAUUUAUCCAAAUAAGAUCUUAAUUACACAUACACACAGACACCGUCAUCGUUACAAGAAUGCUUGAAACAUCAUCAUCAUUGUUCACCAUCAUGAUCAUUCGAAUAAGAGCUUGUCCAGUAAUCUAUACCUACAAUAAGGCAUAUUUUGAUUGCCGAAGAAGCGGGAAUAUCUUUAAGAGAAAGGGGAAGCACAACCAAAUAGGGAACAUAGAACAGAGGGAGCCAUCUAUGAAUGAAAAUAAUUCCCGGUUCAAAGAACUUCUCGAAGGCCACAGCAGCAGAGGGCACCGCAUAAUCAAGAAUGAUCAGAACAGAGAAAAUACAGAACAUCCCAAACAAGGCGCUAGGGAACUCGAUUGAAGCUGCUGCAAAGGCUUUCUUCAAGAGAAAAUCAAUAGCCAGAAUGAGGCCAAGGGAAACAACCCAAUGUAGCACCCCAAACACUCGAAGACGCAAAGUUUGGGUGACGGACUCAGUGGAAGUGGAAGUGCCCCCUGUUUGGGAUUGGAGUAGCUCUGUGCAAAGUUCUUCACUUUUGCAACUUUCUGGGGUACCCAUUUGCUAACAACCAUAAAUUGAACACAAUACCUCGAAUUGAUUGUGCAAACUGCGGAGGAAUCGUUAUCUUAUAAGUGGUGAUCGAAUACAGAAAAAGACAAAAUACAGAGUGCAAAUUCCACACGUCGGUUUUAGAAUUGGACGUCUCGAAACAAUUUGCAUAUGAUGUUAAAUUAAUAUUCUGAGUUUUAACACAAUAAAUUACUCCCAACUAAUUUUCAACGCAUGAAAAUAUUCAUGGGAUCAACAACAGAUCCAGAUAUUUUCCUUUCAUUAUAAAAGACUGAGUUAAUCUCAUCCUAUCUCAUAUGUCACGUGAUGUUAGGACCCUUUUUUUUCAAAAGCAAUGUAAUCAUUCCAUUCUUCUUUCAUGAGUCUGACUAUAGGUUGAACAUAGAAUAUACCAAUUACUGGUAAGAGAAAAAAAAAUCAGUACGCAAGUAUAUUUUAUUAGGAGAUAUGCAUGGUUGAAAUUUUUGAUGUGAUAUCAUGACAUAAUGUUCUUCAAUACUUUACUAGCUCUCAUGAAUGGUUAGACAAGUAUGAAUUACAUUCACUCAACAAAUUAUAUGUUCAGAUUAUCCACUAUCCAAAAUUUUCCUCGGUAAUUUUCAGUGUAACAAUUGACGCGAGUCUUGAGCAAAUGCAUUAUAGUUUAGAAGUCAAGCAAUUCCGCAGUUGCUUUCUUAGGAUCUUCCCGGUUGCAGACCUUGGUAUGUGGUUGGUGAAGAACACUUUCCUAAUCUUCUUAUAUGGAGCAACCUGCCACAAAACAGUUACAAAUGGGACAAAGUCUUAGUAGCCAACAGUAACAUAGCAUAACAUAAUUCAAAUAGUAGAAACUAGGCUGUUAUUUUAUAUUGUCGUCAAAUCACAAACCCAAAUGUAUGGUAAGUUUGGUGAUCCUUACGAUUACAAUCUUAAAAUUUUUGACAAUGUAAAACCAUUUUACAUUAUCAGUGCAUGACCAUUAAACUCUAAAAAUAGUGGCUAGCUGAUGUAACACCUUGACCAUGAUCAUAAAUGUGAAACAUUCCUAUAGACACUAUUGUAUUGAUUCAAGAGAAAAUGUGAACUGAAAUAUCAUAGAUAGCACUUAAAAGUCUGCCUUAUCAAGACGAACCUGCUCAGCAACAUAAUCCAUAACAUGCUUUGGAGACAGCACACUUCCAACCUUCUUUACUACAAAUGCCACUGGCAUCUCACCAGUUUCUUCAUCCAUAGCACUGAAGUGGAAAAUGAUGCAAUACUUCAGGGUAUAUUUUAAGGGCCAGAGAAGAACAUUUAGAGUAUGAUGACUAAUAUGUACAUGCAGUAGCAUACGAAGAUAUUUUGAUCUUUUAAAAAACACAUGCAGGGGGAAGAAGUGAGCUAUGAAACAAGGAUACUUCUCUUGCUUAAGGUGCUGGAAUGUCAGACAUGUUUCUCCUUCCAGAAGCUUAUGCAACAUCUGUCUGACAUUCAUCAUUUGGUAUCUAUUUAAAAAAUAUUUUUCAUGCUGGCAAUUCUAUUUCAGACUUCACACACUAGAGUCAAAAUGAACAGUUGGACACUAGUAUUAAAAAAAAUAUACUUUUAUCUAAAAUAUUCAGAAAUAUUAGUUUAAAUGUAAUACAAAAUAUUUAAAAAAAAAACAUGUUUAGGCUCAUUAUUAUAAGAUGAAUAUACAAGAAUAUGUACAUAUAUAAGUCUUAAUUAUCAUUUUAGACCUUUUGCUAUAUCCAGUGUGUGUUUCAUGGAGUUCAUACUUACCCUAUAACAGCAACAUCAACUAUUUCAGGAUGCAAAAUUAACACAGCUUCUAAAUCAGCAGGAGCAAUCUGUAACAGAUCAUAAGCCACAUGUAAGAAUAUAAACAAACAACACAAAAAUUGUAAUUUAGAAAUUAAAAAAAAAUCCUCCCUAUGAUUGAAAAUUGUGCAAUAUAGACAAUUGUUUGGGGAAAAUACAAUGCUACCGCCCAAAAAGUAAAGUUUCUAAAACUGGCAUCUCAACUAUACAACAAGGUUUGCAGUUUCUUCUGAGAAUAUAUAUCAAAAUCCAACAAUUUCCCAGUCAAUAUUUUUAUUUUUUUACUACAUACUUUAUGUCAUUCUAAGCUGAUCUAUAUUAUAUUUAAGAAACCCAAUAAGCAUUUCAUGUGUUCCUCUGAACCAAAGGUGCACUAUAUCCACACAGUGUGCAUUGUUGUCAACUUCUGAAUGUAUUGUAUUUAUUUAUUUAUUGUCCAAGGGAGAUCCCAACCCAUCAGGAAGGGGCAGGGAUGGGUUUUGAACAUUCAGACGCAAAAUCUGCUUGUCCUACAAUCGAACCAACUAAGCUGUCUCAAGGGAAAAGUUACAUAUUUGUAUGGAAGCAAGAGAAAAGGCUGUUAUUUAUUAAGGAUUUUUUUUUUGCUUUCUGUUUAAAUUAAAAUUAGAUACCUGAAAGCCCUUGUAUUUGAUGAUAUCUUUCAAUCGGUCAGCUAUGUAUACGUAUCCAUCAUCAUCAAAAUAAACAACAUCUCCAGUAUGUAGCCAACCAUCUCUAUCUAUUGUUGACAUUGUAGCUUCUUCAUUAUUCAAGUACCCUGAGAAAAUUUCAAAUUAACGUAUUUCAAUUGAAAUAUCAAUAAAAUAGGCAAAGAAAAAGGUAUUAGCAGAUAGGCUUGACUUGAUUAGAUUUAGGAACAACAAAGGAACAGACAAGAAAACACCUCUAACAUUGGAAAAUCACAAACAAGAAGUCACAACGACAAUUUUUACCAGAGAAGAACUUUUACCUAAUCUAAACAAACAAAAAACUUUAGGUAACAUUUUAGUGGCAAAGACAUGACAAUUUUUAACUGAAAAAGCAACAAUGGCAGCAACUUCUUAUUGUAAACAUUAAAACAAGCGAUUUAAAAUGUGUGUUUGGUUCCAAGUUAUUUUGAAGAAAUAACCACUUAUUUUCAUAAUUUUUCAAUAAAUCUUAUUGAAAAAUAAGCAAUUAUUUCAGAGUAAUAAAUUGUUCCCAAACACACCAAUAAAUAUAGAACUUAUUUUUCCUCCAUGAUGAUAUAGAGCUAUUCCUGUUUCAAAAGUAGAUACUUUUGUACCUAAUUGUAUAAAGGUAGGCACAUAUUUAUGACUAUCUACAUCACCUAAAUUAUCAAUUGGCUUGAAAAAAUCGUCUUUUAGUUGCUCCACGCCACCUACUGAAAAACUUAGGGGAGUUCCUAUAUCAAUCACUUCCAUUCCUCUCAUUAGACCAUAUGUAGCACUCAAUCUCAGUUACAGCUCUAACUCAAUUAUUUCCUAAUAAUUGUUCUACUUGACAAGUCAUGUUAAUUUGUUGACCAACAGCAUCUCGACCCUUAACUACAAGACUGUUAAUUUGUUACAAACACUAACAGAUAAGCUUAUAAUAUCAUUCACUAGAAGAACAAUAAACUUAAAUGGAGCUUCAGAGCCUUGUCAAAUAUUUUAUACACGGUAAAAUCGGAAUUUUUUCUAUUUCAUUUCAAUUAAGGAAAACAGAGUUUUACCCGUCAUAACUGAAGACCCUCUCAACCAAAGCUCACCACUGCUGCCAGGAGGCAAAAAUGCACCAGUAUUCCAGUCUACCACUUUUGCCUCCAUGUUUGGAGCCAAUAACCCUAUUGAAGAAUAAUUUCGAAACUUUUCAGUAUUGAAGCCACGUGUUCCAACGGCAGUUGACUCAGUCAUUCCAUAACCCUAAAAAGAAACAUUCUUACGGCUGCACAUUCUUAAAAAUCUAGCAAAACAACAUUACCAUAAACAAACAAAAGUCCAAGUAUAGAUGUACUUGAUGAGAAUAUUAACAGCACUAUCAGAGUAUUUGUUAUUACACAAAAGUUAAAAGCUCAUAAGCAGAAAGAAGGGGAACUUCACAUUUUACAUGGCUUCUUGUGUGUAGUGUAUCUGUUUCAAAAUAAACUGCACAAGUUUUUUAAAGAAUUUAUAGUGUUUCAUUUCAUUUAUCACAAUUUAUCGUAACAAUAUGAAAUGAAUUGGAAUCAACAUAUUUGGUAUUGACUCUAGCAAUUAGAUGAAUGCUGGCAGAUGACUUGCAUUGUUUGAAUAAGACUAUCUUGUUCAGAGGUUCUUUACCUGUAUAAAAUCAACAUUGGGGAAAGUUCGGAGAAAUUCAUUAACAACUCCUGAGCUCAAAAGCGCUGCACCACUAGAGACCUGUAUCAAACUCUGCAACUUACUGUCAUUAACACCGUUUGCCCUCAUUAUCAAUGCGGUCAACAUCGGCGGAACAACAGGAAAGUGUGUGACUUUAUAUUCAUCGAUCACCCUGACAACCUCGUCUAUGUCAAAUUUUCUCAUCACAACGACAGUAGAACCCAAAGACAACAAUCCCAGAGCAAAUAGCGACAAGCCAUACACAUGGAACAUUGGCAAAACAGCCAGAUACACAUUCCUCAAGCAAGAGCCUUCAUAUUGAGAAGCUUCAAACCUCACAAAAAGCUCAACCAUAGCAAUAAGAUUUUUAUGUGACAGAACAACCCCUUUGCUCACCCCAGUAGUCCCUGAAGAAUACAAUAUGCCAGCAGCGUCAUCCUGCUUGAUAACAGGCCUCUGAGGCAAAUCAAAGUCACAAGAAAUCAAGUCACAAAAGCAUGAAAAACAACCAUAUCUCAAACCCUUCUCGUUUUCUGGCACGGCAAUAACAGAAAUUCCCAAUGGCUCUAGUUUCUUGAAAUUUUCAGGCACGGUAAAAGCCACACUCACACCACACUCAGCAACCUGCCUGCGUAUUUCAUAGACACUACUAAGAGGGUUCAACGGUGUGACAAUAGCUCCUAGAUAGAGAACACCCAAGAACACAAUGGGAUAGUAAAUGGAAUUUGGAAGAAGAAUCAGAACCACAUCACCUUGAGAAACACCCAUUUUGUGAAGACCAGAGGCAACGGAUUUGACUAAAGGUAGCAACUUUGAGUAGGAAAUGGAACACCCAGAGGAGAAAUCAACGAGGGCCGAAACCCCAUCAUGGCGGUGGGAAAAAAUGAAGGAGACAACGUCGAGAAAAGGGUCGCUGGGAAGGUCCACAGGGGCAUGCUUGCUAUGGUAAAUGCCAGAUUUUGGUGAAAACCAUUGAGGGUGAGCGAUUUGCAUGCCGCAGUCUACGUUUGCAGCCAUUGACAGCUAUGUUUGAGUGAAGUGGAGUGUGGUAUGAAGAUGGCAGCAAAGGAACAUGCAGAUGAUGAUAAAAAAAUGGAACAAUGGAAUGAAAGAAGGAAUCAAUGAAUGUAAAAAAUAAGAAAGAAUGAUCGAAUCUGGGGUUCCGGCGGGAACUACUCCACACUGAGUUUCAUUGGCAUUCUUUCACCACUACAAACAAACUUCAUUUUUAUUAAUACCAUUUCUGAACAAAAUACUUACCUAGGAACUUUAAUCAAUAAAAUGUGUGAAACUACCACUAAUGGCAUCUACAAUGUUGAUUAUCACUUAAAUUAAUCUGAUUUUUUAUACUUUCCAUUAUAUCACGCUUUUUUAGAUUUUUGUUCAAAUUUUAAGAGUUUUACAAAGCUCAAACCCUUCCUAAUGUUUUAUUUCCUUAUUCAUAAAAAUAUAUAUUUUCAAAAGAGAAACUUUUUUAUUCUUAUUUUUUAUAAUUCAAUAAAAAUAUAUAUUGAUAUAUAUCUUAAUACAACAACUUUGAUUUUAUUAGUUUUAUUUUUCUUGAUUUGUUUAGUAAUUGUAAAGUGUAUUUGUUAAGAAAAUAUUAAUGUUAACAUGAAAUAAACUUGAAGGGAAGAAUUUUAAAUUUAGAAAGUUAAUUAAAUCAACCUUAAUAUGCAAUUAAGGUUGAAGGGAUACACGGAGAAAUUUUAUUUUACCAAACAAAAAGCAAAUGAUAAAAUACUCCCCUCAAUGAUAAUUGCAUAUUAAAGACGUUUUCUUUCAAGACAUGUAACAAUAUUAAAGACCAAGAAAAACUUAUAUCACACAAGCUAUUAUAUAAAUGAGUGUAUAGAUAGAAAUUGGGAUUAUAUUUUUUUAUAAUAAGAUUUUAUUGAAGAUAACAUUAAUUAUAAGAUAACUUAUAUAUAUAUAUAUAUAUAUAAAUUUAUAUCUUUAUAAUUAUUUAUAAUAUAUUACAAAAAUAUGUUAGUUUUAUACUAUGAUAAGAGUUUUACGUUAUAAUAAAGAGAGUAUCUAUAUAUUUAAUAUUUUAUGAAAAUAUUAAAACUAAGUCCUUCUUAAGUUAAUACUUAAAAAAAACAUGAAUAAAAGUGAGGUAUUUGUAAGCCUUAAAUGUCAAUCUUAAUGAGAUUAACAAACGAUAUUGAAUAUGGGUUUGGGAUUUGACUUACAACCAUAAAACUCAAUAUCAGUAUGAAACGUAUGCGUCCAUAUUCUACUUUUGAAGUGAACAUCAAAAGUUACUCAUGAAAUGAUUAAGUAGUUGAAUAUUUCUCAUUAAAAAUAUUGAUACAGUAAUAAUUAUUUUUUUCAAGAAUACUUCAACCUACAAGAAAAUAUAUACUCACUAUCUAACAUUAGUGCCAGUAUCAUAGUCCAAAGUUUGGUAUAUGAAUAUCCUAGUCCAAAGCCUUAUAACUUCCCAAACAUUGACAUUCAUACAUUAUUUUACUCUCAACUCAUUGUAACAAAAUCUAUGUCUCUUUCUUAAAUGAGAUACUCUUUGACAUUUCUAAGAAUAACGUAACAUGAUGAUUAUUAAAAUAUUUUAACCAAUAAUUUAUACACACCAUUCAAAUAAAUGCAAAAGUAUAACAAUAAUAAUAGAGUAUAUGGAUAAUUUUCUUUUAUCCAAGUUCACUAAAUACAAAAAUAUUUACUUUAACUUUAUUUUUAUUAUUACUUUCUUUGUUAUUUUUUCAGAUUAUCAAAAAGAUUAUGUUUAAAACAAUACAAAAUAAAAUAAGAAUCAAAGCAAAAAAUUAUACAUGAGUCGAUAUAUCACAAAUAAAUAAAUAAACAAAAGUAUAAAGUAACAAUGAGAACCAAUCUCUAACGGAUAUAAAUUGAAUGACAUAGUUAUAAAUUUGAUAAAGAUGACAAUGUGUAAUUAGGGAUACGUUAAUUGAAAUAAUUAUAAAUUAAUAAACAUGACCACUGUAAUUAAAAAUAAAUUAAAUGACAUAAAUGUAAAUAAAUAAACAUGACCAAUGCAUACUUAGAGAUUAAAUUAAAUAUUAAAAAUAUUAAAAAUUAAGAAAAUGAAAUAAUAUAUAAUUAAAGUUAUUUUUAUUGAUUAAAGUAAUUAUUUUCAAAGUUAUUUUUGAUUGAUUGAUGUGAUUAUUUUUCAAUAUAUAUCAACCAUUUUUUCUCUCAAUGUUUACAGUAUUGAAGCAAUAAUCUAAUAAUAAUUAAAAUAUUUUAUCAAAAUAAAAAAAAAAUUAUUUUAAAUUAUUUGAUCAAAACAAAACAUUUGAAAAACUAAUCUAUCUAAAAGGGAAAGCAAAUUUGUAAAAUUCUUGGUCCAAUAAGGUAAAUAUUUACCAGCUCCUUGGCAAAAAUUAAAUGUUUCAUUACUUACUACCUUCAUUCCCUCCCUUCUCAUUCAAUCAAAUUCGCGGAGUAUGAACCUAAAAACUAAAAACUAAAAAAACAAGAUUCAUUUCUAUAUUGAUACUUACUUGAAUGUCAUGGAGAACAUUCUAUUAAAAACAUUAUUAGUGGAAUGUUUUUUUUUUCUCUUCACAUCAUACUAUAAUACUUCUAAAGCGACCCAAAUUGACUCCAAAGAUGACAUAAAUUGAAUAACUUUCAUAAAAGCAAAAUUCUAGGUAAUGAUAAUAAUAACCUAUUAACCAGAAUAAAUUGUUUUGACAAACAUUCACAUCUUCCUAGGAGCUUGCUCAAAGUAAAAUCCUGCUACCCCACAUUUGGAUGAAACCAAACCAUUUACAUGUAAGGAGAAAAAUCAUUUACACUUGAAAUGGAUAGAUAAAAACCCAAAACAGAUCUAAGUUCACUGGAAAUACUAAAUUUUCGGCAAGUCUCAAGCAAACUGGUUGAUUGGUAUGCAGGAGUUGAGUUCAAGGCUAAACUUAGUACUGAUAAACAUAAUGGGGAGGGGAGGGAGGAUGGUAUUGGUAGUAAUAACCUGGUGGAUACUCAUUAUAUUGAGGUGGUAGUGCGGGUUCAAUGAUAUGAUGGGGUGGUGAUAGUUGAGGCAGAUGAUGGGGUGGUGACAGUUGAGGCAGAUGAUGGGGUGGUGAUAGUUGAGGCAAAUGAUGGGGUGGUGGCAGUUCAGGCAAAUGAUGGGGUGCUGACAGUUCAGGCAAAUGAUGGAGUGCUGACAGUUCAGGCAAAUGAUGGGGUGGGGAUGGUAUAUGCAAAUGAUGAGAUGGGAAUGAUUGAUCCAGAUGAUGGGGUGGGGAGGGUGAACUAGGCUCAGUCGAUGGAGAACUAGGAGCAGCAGUUUGUUGUUUAUCUACUUCGAUUUCAAUCAAUUCCUCUUCAACCUCAAAUGACCUGAAGAUUGGAUGCAAGUAAGCAUCAGCCAAAUAAGCCUUUAUGUUCAAGUCAGGUUCUGUGCUCUUCUCCAAUAAAUCCUUUGACAUUGCUUCCUGAAUAGAUUAAGAGAAAUCAGUUUUCCAUACAACCAUCAACUACGAGAAAUCACAUAAUAUGUAGCCACCUUCAAAGAAGAACAAAAGGAAGCUUAGUGUAGAGAAUUCUACUACACUGUUCCAAAGGUUUUGUAAUUUGGAAUAUUGGCUUAUUGCAUGGUGCAUAUCUUACCUCAAUCGGGUACUUCCGAAAUGCUGGCUCAAAACGUCUCUGGCAGUACUUGUGGAAUGCAAAUGUCAAUACUGGUAAUAUAACAAGCAAAGGUGUGGAUUUAGCUGCCUUUUUGGUGCUAAGCAAUCCCAAUAGAAGAAACUGGGAUAUUAGCAUGCUUGCAAUGAUGCGGCUGUGAACAAGUGGCCAAAAUGCAGCAGCACUUUCAUACUGUUGGUUGUAGACAUUGAUUAUCUGCAUAAUUAAACAUCAUGUAAAGUUAUAUUUAGGCUACACCACAUCCUGUUUCAUUGUGUUGGCACACAAAAAUGUUACAAGCUCAUGAGCAAUAUACCCUCAUACAGAUUACAUGCAACACGCUUAUUUUAAUGGACAUAAUAACGAUUGCUUUUAUGUAAUUAUUACUUAUGCUAUGGUUUGGCAACUUCUGACAAUUCCAAAGGACCAAAAUCUAAGAAAUCUUCAAGCUACUGCAAGUCAAAUUAGCAAAAAGAGGCAUGUUUUAAGAUGACACUAGCGGAGACACUGACCUGAUGACGAUAAACCAAAUAUGCAAAGGCAAAGAAGACUAGUAUGAAGGGAAGAAGGAUCGGUGUGACCACAGCGUACACAAUUCCAAGAAGGAAGUAUAGUUGAAGACUUGGAAUAGUCUCUGGAAAGUCCACACUCCCAGGGUCCAUGGCCUUUCCUUUAUCUCUUUCUGUUUUAACUAUGAACAUGUUCUUGAGAUGGUAUAUAACCAAUGGCUUUAAUCUGAGAAUCUCACUAGCAAUUCCAGCCCAUCCAUCAACCAUUAUGUAUGUCAUAAAGAAGGUAGCCUUCAUUGGAAUGGAAACUCCAAUUGUUCUAGGAAUCCUAUAGACAAUGAUAAGAUUCACAAGAUGAAUGCAUAUGUACGAGUACUCUUUAGCAACAGAAGAAAAAACACCAAAAAUAAUUAAAGAAAGGUAAAAGAGAUUUAUCAGAUACAGUGUAAGAUUCAAUAAUGUUACGAAAAGGUUAUGGCAUUUAUUGCAUUAAAUAUAUGUAACUGGAAAGUUGGUGUGCAACAUUAGAGAAUAUCUAAACAUAAUAUAUUUCCAGUCAGACAUAGCUUUAACACAAAACUGCUUAAUUAAAGACAUACUGUGUAGGUGACUGGUGAAGGAAAGCAUGCAGUUGUUGAAAUGCAGUUCCAGUCACUAUGCUUCCCAAGAAAACAUUCACCAGCAUAAAGUAAUAAUAUUUUGCAGCUGUCUUCCGCUCAAGAGUUGACAAUGCAGUAUAUCCCUCAAUUUUUGACAUGAUCAUCAGAACUGAUGGUAGAAUGUACAAAAAUACUUUAAGAGCCAAACCAGGAAGAAAACCUUGUAGAAAGGACUUGAUGAAGUUCCUGUCAAAAGCCAAAAAAUCUGUUAGGCUAACCAUAAGGCAUUUGAGCCAGUAAUGUAUACAGUAUACCAUGUUCUAAUUUUACAACUGAAAAUUCAUCAAAGUAGAAUAAAUGAAGAAAAUAGUGUAUAGAAAAGAUAGAUGAAUUAACAAAACCAAAUAGGAUAAAUCAACCUAUUUAGUAAUUUCUGAAAUAGAAGAUAACGAAUAUCUGCUUUGCACUAAGGUAAAAUAGUAAAUUCCAAUGCCUUGAAGACAUAUACAUCAUUUAUUACUGGGGCCCUGAUUAGUUUCAAAAAACUAAACUUAACAAAUAAAGAUUGAGCAUUAUAUAUUCUACCAUAGAAGCUAAAACAGUUAAUGAUGAAAUUCUAGAACAAUAUAUAUCAACUUCUAGAUUAAUUACCUUCUCUACUUAUAUCCAAAAAGAAAUUUAAGUUCACUUACAAUUCUAUAACUGGUCUGAGGAAGGGAGCAACUUUUUCAAGACCUUCCAAAUUGGCAAGGGAUUGCACAAAAGCAAUGGGAAUCAUGUAGAAGAAUACCAAGGCAAACACAGACAAUGUUAUUACAAGCUUCCGGAUGCUUAAAGAAACAAAUGGUAUGGCUAAGUUUCGCCAAUAUACAUCACGUGGCUCAGGAGCCCAAUCAGUUAGCCAGAGUGUUGGAUUCUUGCUUUGUUGGGUUUGUGCACAAACCGAUGCUCCCCAACGGGAAUUGAAUGAAAGAAAAGCAACUGGCAAAAUAGCUUUGGGAUCUUUUAUAACUCUCUGGCGUUCCGAUGUCAUCUGCACAUGGUAUGCAGUAUAGCUAUAUUACAGUACCUCGAUUUCAAUAAUGGAAGCAUGUGUAUUAGCAUAAGGACACAGAGGAUUACCAUACAGAAGGUAACAUGCCACAGAAAAGAGAAAAACACCCGACUUACCAGGUUAUCAAGUUCCUUAAUUGCAUGUUUGUAGUACUCAAUCGCAUCAACUUUCCCACCCCAAAGGCCUAAAAAUCCAGUCUAAAGGGAAAAAUAACAAUGUCAGAUUCAGGUUCCAAACAGAUUAUUAGUUACAUUCCUCACAAUUACAUAUCUUGGUGCAGAUAAAAGAAAUACCUUGACGGUGGACCUUUUGUCAGGAUGUCUUUCAAACUUAAGCUGGUAAUAGUCCAGCCAAUUUUGGAGUCUAUCUCUUCUUUUCGAUAAUUUAGCAAAUUUAUUUGCAUUGUAGACAGCCUGAAUAAAAUUUAAUGCAUAACAAUAUGAAUCAUUUAAUGUAAGGAAAUAUUCUGCUGAGUUAAAAUAAAUCAACAUUAACACCAUUUACAAAUGCCCUGAUCGGUUUAUCUUUAAUAAACUUUCCCAAUCAAGAAUGCAAUAAAAAUUAUUACCUGGUGUCCAAUAUAAUGAUCUGGGUGGUUUGUUUGAAAGAAGCCAUUCACAGAAUCUGAUACUGCGUGAUCAGGCAUACGAGGGAUAUUCCUGACAAGUACCUGCAACAAGAAUGUAAAUAACUGUGAAGAUUUGAAAAGAUGCUUAAAGAAAGUUAGAGGGGGAAAGCAUUUAUAGGAGUGACUAUCCAAGCUGAAAAGCAUUCUAUUCUAAAACCAUAGCAUCUUUGCUAUAAGAGUUCAAUAUAGGCCAUUGCAUCAAUCCCGUACAAACCACUUUAUUCAAGUACCAAGAAUGGGUUUAAAGCUAGAAACUGAAAAUUAGCUCCUUGUGAAGAAGUACAAAGAAGCACAUCUAGAGUUGUUUUGGUACGUCCAAUAGCUACAUCGCUUAGGAGUCGAGACUAAAGACGGUUUAUGUACAUCUUUCUCCCUUAACCCACUGAAACACCUUUUAAGGACAAGACCGUGACAGAGCUAUGAGCUCAAAAACGAACAAUACCUCAGAUGCGGUGAUUGACUUUUAACGAUGUUAUCUCAACGGACUUGAAGUCGGAACAUUGGUCCCGUCUGUGGGAACAAAACGAGGUUCCGAAGACGAACCCUCAUUCCUUUAGCCCUCAACUAGGGGGAAUUCGUUCCCACUAGACUUCGACUGACCCAGUAAUCCCACGUCGCUUAGGAGUCAAGAACAAGGUAGUUUAUAUACACCUUCCCCCUUAAUCUACAAAAACGUCUUUUAAUGAGAAGAGCUUUGAACUCUAAAACGGACAAUACUUCGGAUGUCCAGUGAUUUCUUUGCUAACUAGUGAAAAGUAAACUGAUAAAAUAACCAUGCAAGCCUUACCAUAAUACACAAAAAAAAAGGAACAGACGCUUCACUGCAAUUGAAAAAUGGCGAGGACUGAAGAGCUCCAAGAAAUGCUUUCUAGCAAUACGAAACAAUCUAAAUUUUAUUCUACCUAUUAAAAAUGAAUUAAGAUUUUUAACUUACUGUGAAUUGCUCCACACGCCUGCGUUGUGAUGCAAUGAAGUGCAAUCUCAUUGAUGCGAUAUUAUCAUAUUCUUUGUACAGCAGAAAACAAAUCCAUAAUGUGAACAUGUAUUCCAAUGCUAUGUGAACAAAAAAUCUGAAAUUUAUAAUUCCAGCUGUUAGCUAUUUGAUAACACAAAAAUACUAUCAUGAAAAUGUAAUGUAGCUUGCAAUACACAUAAAACUAAACAAUACAAGAUUUAACCAAAACAAGAGAGACAGGGAGAUGAAGAGAAAAUAUUUAAAUGGUGGAUAUUAGAUAUCAGGGAUUGAAUACGAUUUAGUACAUGAUUAAAAAAGUGAACUCUUUGAUGAGACAAUAUAAUACAUGCUUCAAUUAUAUUUUUUCCUAAUAAAACUUUAAUGCAUGAGUGAUGCGAGUAGUUAAAGUCAAGAGAAGAAAACACAAAAACUUGGACCUCAAGCGAACCAUUCCUUCAUAAAGAACGUUCUGAAUUAUUUGUUUAAAUUUUUGGGGGAGUUUAAGGAAAAAAUACCUUAUAGAUUCAGGAGGAACAUUUGAUAUUGAGAGUUUAUCAAUAUCACUCACUACCAAUUCCCUUUUUAGGAAAAAUAAUGUCCCACUUGAUACGUUGACUGGUAUAAGAAUGAGGAGUGCCACAACUGUGAUUGGAACAAAAAUCUUUAAGCUGAAAAGAAAGAGAUAAAAAUUAGUCCGAUUAGUAGUAAUCCAGCACAGUAAUUUCAACAUUAACAAGAAGUUGAAAAGGAGAGUCUUAUCUCUCUUUUCACUAUCUCAAACUCAUGCCUCCCAUCAAAAGAUUACAUUAAUAAAUUCGAUAGACAGAAAAAAGGUGCAUCCCUCACAUGCAACACAUAAAAGUUGACAGAAAACAUAAACAGAGGGAGGAGCACAAUGAAAAGUGGAAAACGUAGAAAAUUGGACUACACCCCAUAAGGUGAAGCUUCCACGGAAGAGAUUUAACAAAAGCUGGCAAAACCAAAAAGAAAGUUCAAAACCACACGGCAAUACUCUAGAAUCUAUUUGAUAAUCAAACGCAUGGAAAUACAAAUACAAGCAACAACCAAAUACUUAGCAUUUUGAGAAGUAGAACAAUUUUCAAAACAUAGUUGCCGCACAACAACAAAUGCAUAACAACAAUUACAGCAAACAAAAUCACAAUUCAAUAAAAAACACAACAGCAUGUCAGUUCUGUCUUUUUUUCCCAAUGAUAAAAUUAAAUGUAAAAAAAAAGUAGUCAAUGACUCAGUGUGACUAAAGUUUAAACCUUUUGCAUUAAAAUGAUAAAAAAAGGAUCAAUUCUGCAGGAUGGUCGCCGCACAACAAUCCAUCACAUCAAUCACAGAAUCCACAGAAUUUAGUACAUUAAAUUAAAAAAAAAAUCAGAAUAUGCUUAAUAAUAAAAUCUUUUACGAUGGAUGAGAAAAAAAUGGUAAUUUUAUCAUGAGUUAAGCGGAAGGCAGCAAGUGAUUGCUGAAAACAAACAACACGAGAAUGGAGUGAACCAUAGAGAGUAGAGAGAUGUGAUAAAUGUUUAAAGGGAAAGUGAAAGUUGAUAUGAAGAGUGUAAAAGGAGAAAGGAGUACCCCAGAGUGUAGAUUCUAAGGAAAGCAGCAGAGUCAAGGCCAGCAUGGCUGAUAAUCUCAGACUCACUCAUUCUGAGAGCCUGAGGCAUCCAAUUCAGGAAGGUAAGGUAAGUCCUGAAAUUGAGGUUCACAAACUUGCCCACAAAAUUCCCAGAACUCCUAGGACUACUUCUCCCUCCACUGAGAUACCACUUUGGAAAGUAGACCCUAUCAUUGACGGGUUGGAUUCUCAGCAGAGCAAAAGCCAGCAAGAAAGCAAAGGCUGAGAGAAUGUUGAUGGUAGCUGAGACACCAAUGUCUGCAAGGGUGGCCAUUGCAGAAACCAAAGGAGUCGAGAGAAAGAGAGAGAGAGAGAGAGAGGAUGGGGUGUGAGAGAGGAAGAGAAUUGAAUAGAAGAAUGAGAAGGGAAAGAAUAACUGAUUCUUGGUAACUCCAAUUCUUUAUUGCAUGGUGGAAAUAAAAAAGCUGGGUUCUUUGCUGUUGUUUGACUUUAUUGAGCAUCAAUUAAUAAACUUCAUUUAAAAAUUAAAUUUUUUUGAGUUGGGUUUUUGUUUGAUUGUGAUGAGUAAGAGAGCACUUUGCAAGAGACGGUUUCAUGUGCUAAUGGAAAAGGAUUAGCUCUUAACAUAGUGCCAUGUUCUUGUUUUUGUGUUUGGGUUGUGUCUCUGUCUCAGUUUCUACCAUCAUAAAGCAUCUGAUGAGUAAAUUGAAAAGCCAGAAAAAAAAAAUUAAUUAAAGGGACUAAUCUUUUUGCUUUCAUUUUUUGUUUUUUUUUUUUCUUUAAUUCGCUUUUUCCUUGCGGCGGGAAAGUUCGCUGUAAUCAUGCUAAUCGCCACGUUCGCGGCAAUAAAUCGGCUAACGUUGUUCCAAUACGUAAAUAAUACGAUACAUGUAUCUGUGUAACAUAACAUGCAUCGUAUUUAGGCUUAAAUAAAAUGGUUUUCAAAUAAUUUAUUAUAUUUUUUUAAUUCAGAUCUUUUUUUCAGUAAUAUAUGUUUGAUUAUAAAUGAUAAUAUUUAUCAUCAAAAUAAAUUUAAUGGUGUGAAUGCAAGUAAUAUUGUGUUACUUUUUUAAGUUUCAUUUUUUAUUUAAUGGACCUCCCUCGUAUUUUUUGUUAAUUUUAAUUAAUAAUAAGAGUAUGUUAAAGAAUAAUGAAAACGCGUUGUUAAUUAACUUUCUUUCAAAAUUAUUAAACCAGGUAAAUUUAUGAUAAUGGUGGCCCCUGGUGGGGCAUGGUAAAAAAAAUAAAAAAGUAAUGAAAUUUAGGUUUAAUUAAUAUUUUUUUGUCUUUGUAAAUGAAUAUGCACGUUUCUUUUAAUUUUUUUUAAUCUCUUUAAAAUUGAUAUUUGUUGUGUAAUCUUUGAAAAAUAUGUGAAUUUUUGUUUUAAUUUCUAUAAAAUAAUUUUUUUAAAUUUUAUACUAAUAUCGAUUCAUAAGAUUUUAUUUUACAUAAACAAAUAACAUAUCUUAAAAUUAUUUAUUGACAUUUUGUGACUUGAUUUUUAGUUUAAAGCAAUCAGUUAAUAAAUAUUAUAUAACAAUAGAAAUAAAACAAUAAUUUUAAUUUUAAAAUAAAAAAUUCAGAAUCAAAAUUAAAAUAAACUUAUUUUUAUUGAUAUUAAAAAUAUAUUUAAACAUAAAAUUGAUACAAUAAUUUACAUCUGAUUUUAAAAUAAUUAAAAUUUAUAAUCAUACAUCAUUUAAUGAAAAUAAUAAUGCAGCAUAUGUGUGUGUGUGGUGUCACAACAUUAAAGGACACUUAAUAUUAUUAUUUAUGAUAUAAUUAAUCUCAUUUAAGUAAUUAAAUGUAACGUUAAUUUUUUAGUAUGGAUUAUAUGAAAUAUAUUAUUUAAUGAUACAUUUUUAUCUUAGAAGAAUAUUUUUAUUUUAUUAUGGGUUUUAUUAUUUUUCCAGUAUAUUGAUUAGAGAGUUGAGUUUAUUUCUAUUAUAUUGACUCAAAUAAAUUUUUAUAUGCACUGAAAAAAUUGAAACGGAUUUCUUAUUAUAUGAAUGAUAGUCCACGUUACGAGUUUAAGCAUUAAAUCAAUUACUGAUGUUAAAUAAUUCUUUGAUAUUUUUUAAAAUAAUAAAAAACAACAGUAAAUAUAUAAUUUAUUAGAAUAACAUUUUUUUAAUAAAUACAAUCCUUUAGUUUAUUAACAAUAUAUCAUGUAUAUAUAAAUUUGUGUUCAGAUUAGAGUAGCUAAUUUGAUUUGUUUAUAAGUUAAUUUUAGUAAGGUACAUUAACUUCAAAUUUUCAAAUUACAAAUAAUUUCAACUAGCUUUUGUAAUACUUUAAUUAUUUUUUAAAAAUUAUUUAAUUUUUUAUUAUCACUUCUUAUAUUUUAAUAUAUAUUUAUUCAUUUUUAUUAAUUAUUAUAUCAACUAGAUUUUUAUUUAUAAGUUAUAUAUAUAUAUAUUUUAUUUUAUACAGACAAUUAAUUAUUGUAUAAUUUGUAAUAUUUGCUUUAUUACAUUUAAAUUUUUUCUAUAUAGUUUAAAUUAAAAAAAAAUAACUAAUGUUUCAUUGCAUAAUAAUGUUAUACAAAAAUUACAUACAAUAAAAAUAAAAAUUGUAAGAAAUAAAUUUAAUUUAGUUUAUUAACAAUAUAUCAAGUACAUAUAAAUUUGUGUGUAGUAAGGUUAGAGUAGCUAAUUUGAUUUGUUUAUUAGAUAACUUUAGUAAGGUACACUAAAUUUGUAAUUUGUAAAUUACAAAUAAUUUCAAUUAGCUUUUUAUUUAUAAGUUAUAUACUACUUUAACUAAUUUUUAAUUUUUUUAUUAUUAUUUCUUAUAUUUUAAUAUAUGCUUUAUUAUUUUUAAUUUCUUUUUACUAAUUAUUUGAUAUUUUAAACGUUAAUUAUAUAAUCAAACUUAAAUAUUUAUAUCAAGUAAUAUUUAGCAACUAACUUUAUCAAACAAUUUUAACUCAGUGAAUUAAUUUAUGAAUUCAAAACUUAUAAGUUUAUAUAAGUUAGUGUUGUGAAACAUACUCUAUAUAUACACACAAUUAAAAUGUAUUAUAUUACACAAUUAAGAAAUAAAUAAUAUAUGAUCCGAUUAAAUAUAAUCAUGUUGAAAAUGUAUAAUCUAUCAAUCAAACGAGUUUAUAAUUUAAAAGUGUAUUUUUCUCAGAAAAAACAAAGAGUUGAAUGAUACCAAAACAAGAAAAAUGAGAGACUGUGAAACUUAGAAGUGUGGGAUGAAUGGCAGAGGAGGAGAGUGGUGACAGAGCCACCAUGAUUGGCGGUGAGAUCGGCUACUGCAUUACUCUUAAAAAGGGUGCCAUGAAGUGUUGUAUUUAAAACCCGUGACACCAUCGAAGGAUGAGUCUUAUUCAUUCUGAGAUUGUUGCUUUGCAUGCAGCAAACACAAGUAACAGUGUGCCGAACCACAAACAACCCUAACGACAAUUUCAUUUGACUCUUUUUUCCACCAAUUUUGUCGGUAAUUGCAGAAUUUCCCCAUUCACUAUGUUGUCUCAUUGGUUCAUCCAAAUCUUGAUUGCUUCCAAGGAGAUGAACCUUCUGGCUACUCUUUCUUAACAACAAAACAUUAACAUCGUCUCAUCACAUCUUAAUCACCAAACAAUCCAUUUUAUGCUUCAAUUAAGAACUAAGUUUUCAGUUUAAAAUCUUAAAAAAAAUGUUUAAGUGUAAUGAUUAUAUACAUAAAUAAUCACGAGAAGAUAAUUAGAGAAAAUAAUAUUGAAUAUCUCCCAUACUUCUUUUUGAAUAAAUAUUGAAUACUGUUAUAAAAGACUUCAAAAUAAAAUUAGGUUAGACCAGAUAAUUAUAACAUUAACUAAGAUUUUUUGUUCAAUUGUUUCAAGAUGUCUCAUCCAACAUGAAGAGUAUAGAUGAUGUUCUAAAAAACAAUAAUGUUUGUUUAGUGGAAAUAGUAUAAAAUCUAAGUUGAAAACGAAGCUUAUCUAUAAAAUAUACAAAGGGGAAUGAUCUCAUGAUUGUAUCUGCAAAUUUAUUGUAUUAAAAUUUUAUAAGAAUGAUUUAAAAAGAAUAUUACUUUUAAGUAAAGAAAUUAUGUAGUUAUUUUUUAAAAGAGGUGUGUAGUUAUUUAUUUUAUUAAUAAAAAAUAUUUCUAUUUAUUAAAAUAUACUUUUUUUAUUAAAAAAAUACCAAAAAUAAUUUAAAAUGUAUAUUUUCCUUUAUAUAAUGGUAUACAUAUUUACAAGUAUAAAAUUUAACUUAUAUAAAUCAAAAUUAUUUUUUUUAUCCAUGUAUAUCUUAUCUUAUUUUGAUUUAUUAAAAAAAUAAAAAAAUUUACUUUAUAACUAUAUUUCAUUUGUAUUUAAUUCUCAUUUUUACAUAAUUUUAAUGAAAUAUCAAUAUUAAAAAUAUUUUAAAUAUUACUAGACCUUAUAUGCCAGUACAAUUUGUUCAUAAAUGAUUAUUAAAUAUUUUAAUUUCAAUGUUUAAUUAGAUUACUUUUUCGUUUAAAUUAGAUAUCAGUACUUUUAAAUUCAAAUAAAUAAUAUCAUGUAUUUGAAUAUUAUGAAACUACAAUUUGUAUUUUAUUGUGUUUAGAAGUGAUAUUUACUUCUUUGCUGUAUGCUAUGAAGUAGGACAUAUUAAUAAGUUUGUUUUAUAUUUAUUAUAAUAUUAUACUUGUUUGAAUUUUAUUUAAAUAUUUAUGAAUAAAAUAGACUUAUACAUCUUAAUGCGAAUCAAUUUUAUCUUAAAAUAUUUAUAUAAAUUAUAAAAACUAUAUCAAAUUAUAUUGAGUGAGAGUGCACGGGAAUGUAUAAUAUACAUAAAUAAAUAAGGAUACAAAAGAUUGGUAACCGAUAACAAAUCAGUAUGUAUAUCAUUAUUAUUUAAUUUAAUUUAAUUUUUAAUUCAUGUAAAAUGAAUAAAUUUUAAUUUUGAUCUUUAUAAAUGCUUUUCUUUGUUUAUUUUUAUUUUUGUCUAAUUUAAAAUUUAAUUUUUUAAUUUUUAUAAAAUGUGUGAAUAUUAGUUUUAGUCCCUAUGUCACACUUUUCUUUGAUUUACAUUCUUUUAAAAAAAAUUAAAUUAUGCCCUUGAUAUUUAUUUUUAAGAUAAAUUAAUAACAUUCACUUUCUUAUGUUAAAAGUUUGUUUGGAUGACUUUUGUGAACCUUAUAUUAUAACACUUUAAAAUAGUUAUGUGAUUUUUCCGAAAAAUAUAAAUUGUUAUUUAAUAACAUAUAAGAAUUUCAAGUGAUAAUUUAUAAUUUUCAAGAGAUAAAAACAAAUAAAAAUUAUAAGAUAAAAAAACUCAUAACUUAACCUUCUCAUUAAUUGUUAUUUCUAAAUUUUUCAAUAAUUUAAUAUUCAGUGGAGAAAUAGUUUAAUUGCAUGAAUAAUUAUACAAACUAAUAUAUUUAUAUACAUGCUUCUUAAAAAAAUAAUAUAAAGUAAUCCCCUAGUAACUUUCAUACAUGAUUGUAGUGCAACCACAUGCACAUGUAGUUAGGUAUAUAAUGUUAUAACAGGAACAAUAAAUACAAGAAUAAGUUAUUUAAAAAAUUAUUAUAAUAUAACAAUUUUAUUUCAUUUUAUCUUAUAAAUAAAAUUCAUAAUUUAACUUAAUCCAUCGUCAAAAAAAUAUACGCAUAAAUAUAAACAACAUAUUACACAUGGAUCCAUAUAAUAAAGAAUAUAUAGGUUGAAAUAUCUAGUGUUCUCUUUCAAAAAAAAUGUAUUUUUUGUAUAAGCAUUUUGUAAUUUAAUUUUAUGGGUAUAUGAUAAUUUUAAUGCAUUCAACAUCCAAAAUCCAUAGUUUGUCAGAUAUGCAAUAAACUUUCAUUCAAUUUCAUACCAUCUUGUUAUGUGGUUUAUAUUACUUAAAUCAUCAAUAAACUUAGAGAUAUCUAUCAUAUAUCUCAAUACAUAAUUCACAUAUUUGAACAAUGAUUCAAAUGUCGUCCUAGAUUUGUAACAUCAAUUCCAUACAUUUUACAUAAAUGUACCAUUCUCAACUACAUUUCAUGUACCACAUAAUUUACUUGAAAUAAGAUGAUAGAUAAUUAAAAAUUUAAUAUUUUUUUUAUAUAUUUAUAUAUAGCACCAUUGUUCAUUCAAUUAAAUCAAUAUACAUUUAAAAUUAAAAGUAUUUAUUUUCUUUCCUUGAGCAAGUGACAUUACUUUCGCUUAAGCACUAUAAUUUCACAUUUCACUAAGUGAUAAUAUCAAAUGAUUACUUACUUGACCAAUUUAGACAAUCUCUUCACUUAGGUGAUUAUGAUUUUGGUGAGUGAGAGUAGCUCAACAAACACUCAAAUGAGCAACUCAUACUAUAUUUUUACUUAAAUGAUCCUAAUUUCACUGAGUAGGAGUAUUAGAAGGUAUUGAGUAACAACUUUCUAUAUCAGAACUAAGAUAGUUUCAAAAAAUUUAACACACUUUAACUCUAAACAAAUUUUUUACUCCAACACAACAUUAUUUCUUACAAAAUACCACCAAUAAAUCUACUUGCAUUUUUUUUAAACUAAUUCAAAGAAUGGAUUUUCUAUUCAACAUGUAAAGGAAUAACAUUGAAUUCAACAUGCAAAAGAAGAACUCCCAACUUAACAUAUUAUUAUACUAAGUGCUCAAUAAUCGAUCAAACCCCUAUGAGUCUAAGGAUCAAAUUACAUUGCUAAAGUGUUAAGUGUUAGCAUAUGAGUGAUGUUUAAUUUACCAAUAACCAAAAUACUAUCCAAUAAAAAAAGUUAAAAAUUUACAAGUUAUAUUGAAAUUAUAAUCACAAAUAUUUUUUGUUUAGUUUGAUAAAUAUGAAAUUAUAUUAAUUUCACAAGUUUACAAGUUAUCAUGAUUUUAACUUCAAUAUAUCUUUUAACAUCUUUAGUUUAUUUUAAUAAAUUUAAUAAUCAAAAUUAUACUUAAUUCUCUCUCACAUGCUUCAAUGCAUAAAAGGUUUGGUGUUUAAUUAUUGGAUUGACAUUUCUUUUUGUCAUGUGCAAAUCUUGAUCCAAACUAGAUAUGAAAUUUAAAGGAGGUCAUGCAAACCCUAUUAUACAGUUCUAUUUUGUUUUUGUUAAUAGUCAUUUUGUCUUUUGAUAAUUAGGCAGACAAGAUUAUUUGAAUUAGGGUUUCUAAUUUUGCACCCUAUAAAUUUCAAGUUGUAUCCCCAUAUAAUUUUAUGUGACCCAUUUGUUCUUUUGAAAAUAAAUGUUCAAUGUGGGUGACAAUGCAUUGGUUUGGAGCAUUUAUAUGUUUCAUUCUUGUUGGUUGACCUGGCAACUGGUGAUGGCUGGCGAUGGUGCUAAUUUAGUGGAAGGGUGAUUGUUGCAGUAGUUUUAGUGAGUGUGUUUAUUUUUUGCAAUUUGAGUUCCAUAAUGUACAAUUUGAUUACCUUCCAAAUUAUACAUCCUACAAUGGUAGAAGUUGGUUUUGUACAUUCCAAAACAUAGAAUCUAGAACAUAAAACAUUUAUUUUGGAAUGUAGAAUCUGGAAUGCAUAUAUGUAUUUCGAAUUUUACGUUCCAUAAUAAAUAUUUGUAUCUUGGAUUCUAUUCCAAAACGUAGAAUCUGGAAUACAAAAUAUGCAUUUUGGAACAUAAAAUGUACUCUCCAGAUUUUAUGUUCUGGAAUACGUAUUUGUAUUUAACCUCAACGGUGGAGCAAAAUAUCGAACGAAGUUGAUAAGUUAUCUGAUAUAGAUGAGUCCAACAUAAUGAAGUCAGUGGCAUCUAAAGAUGAAUUGGUUGGGGGAGACUUCGUUCAACCAUUUACAACAUAGGAGGUAAGUGUAAUUUCAUUGAUACAAAAGUGUGACAUAUGAUAUUCUAAAAAUGUGUUGUAAUAAUACAUUCUAGAUUACACAUUCUUAAAUGUAUUUUUAGAUCGGGAACAUACAUUCUAAAAUGCACAAUCCAAAAUAUAAUAAUACAUUUGGGAAUAUACACUCGAGAUCUGAAAAUACAUUUCAAAUUACACAUUCUAGAAUAUCUUAUCAAAUUCAGAGUGUACAUUCCAAAAUUUCAAUAUAAAGUGUAAUACAUUCUAGAUUACACAUUCUAGAAUGUACACUUAAGAAGCACAAAUACAUUCAAAAAUUUACAACUAAAAUGUAUAUUUUAAGAACAACUUUAUCAUUUUACCUCCUCGUAAGGGUGUAAAAUGUGAAAUCCUUAUACAAUUUACUUUCUUGUUGGUCUUAUUACGAACCCAUCAACUUCCAGAAUAACUAAACCUACUUUAAAAUUGUGCAAGUAACAUAAGGUGUGAAUAUUUAAUGAAAUUGUUACAGAUUUUUUGAAAAAUUUAUACAAAAUGUCAUGGGUUUGACAUAAUUUUUUAUUUUAUUAAUUUAAUGGGUAUUUUUUUAGGUUAAAAUUUGUCAUUAUUGUAUUUUUUUUGUUAUUGAAAAUAUUUUUCACUACAACAAAGAUCACUUUAGAUAACACCAAUAAAACUAUGGCCUAAAAACCUAAACCCUAAAAGGAAUCAAACUCAGUACUAUAAAUAAACAUAAUACAUGUAUAAACAUUAUACUAGAUAAAUUUUGUUAUUACAUUGUGAUUAAUAUUAUUAUAUUAUUAUUAUUACUUUUUUUUAUUAUUAAUAAUAUUGUUAUUGUUAGUAUUAAUAUUAUUAAUGAUAAUAAUAAUAAUAUUAGUAAUAUUAACAUUAUUAUCAAUUUUAUUUUUAUUAUCAUUAAUAUUAACAUUAUCAUUAUUAAUAUUGUUAAUAAUAAUAAUAAUUUGAAUUUACUUUCUAACUGAUAUAAGGUUCAAAUCCUAACUCCAAGCAAAAUAAUAAUAAUAUCUAAAUUGAUAUCCUUUAACCAAAUUAUCUCUUAAACACGAAUACAUUUUUGCUCUUACUAAAAAAAAUAAUUUAAAUUUAAAUUUUAUAUUUGAGUAUGUGUUGGAGGAUGAAAACAAAGAAAAACAUAUUGUAUAUUUGAAAUCCAAAAGUAUAUUUUUUAGUUUAUUAAAUUUUGCCAAUAGAUUAAUUAAAUAUUUAAAAUAUCCAUAAUUUCAAAAAAUUGAAUAAAGUAACCAUGUUUUAAUAAUGAUUUCCUAUAUUAAAGAUAACUUUAAUUAAAUAUGGUUUAAAACACCCACAAUUAAAACCACUUUUUUAUUAUUUUAGACAUAUUUUUCAAUGUGUUUAUUUUAAAAGGUUAUGCCACAAAACGGUGGCUUAAACAUCCAUGACCCAAAAAAUGUUGUAUAUAAUGAUUUAUAAGCUGCAAUUAUAAAAAUGUUGCAUUUUUCACUUUUAGGCUAUAUUUGUGGCCAAUUUUAGACCAUGAUUUUAUUAUUUAGUCCACACAUUCUAAAGAUACCUCUUAAAAAAUGUGGUAUAAACACUUAAAACCGCUAUUUUUUCUAUGUUUAGACAACGGUCAUAUAAGGGUGGCCUAGUUAAGGGUUGCCUAAAAUAAAGAAUGAUGUAGCACUACAAGAAAAUCAUGAAAUAUGAACAAAUUUUAAACACAAAAAAUAAUUAGUUGUUAUAGCGACUAAAUUAGAUAUAAUUUUAGAGACUAAAAAAAAUUUUGGUUUCUAAAUUAGUUUCUAUUAUUGUUAAAUGGUUUCUAAAUUGGUAUCUAAUUAACUACCUAGGUUUUUGCUACCAAAUUUAAAAUCUAAAUAAUUGGUAGUUAAAACCUUGGUAGCUAAUUAAAUACCAAUUUAGAAACUAUUUAACAAUAAUAGAAACUAAUUUAGAAACCAAAAUAUUGUUUAGUUUCUAAAAUGAUCGAUAAUUUAGUCACUAUAGCAACUAAUUAUUUUUUGUCUAUAAAAUUGGUUUCUAUUUCAUGAUUUUCUUGUAGUGUAGUGUUUAUUUCUGACAUGGACUAACAUUAUUCUUUUCAAUUGAUAUUAGCUAAUAUUUUUUAAUUAUCAAUAAUAUAUUUUAGAAUAAUGAAAAAUAUAAAAUCUAUUGUUUUUAAACAUCAAUAAUAUUUUUUUUCCAACUAAUAGUAAUAUAUGUUACUUUUAGUUAAUGCAAGUAUUUCAACUAAUGUAAAUCAAAAUAUAAAUCAAAGUUAUCUCUCGAUAAAUAUAGAUAAAAUUAUUUUUUAGUCGAUACAAGUAUCAUAUUUUAUCAAUAAUAAUGAUUAUUUUUUAGUUAACCAUGUCUAUUUGAAAACAUAACAUAUAAAUUACGGUUUUGUGGACAACUAUCACCUAUAAUGACCACUAUAGACUAUGGUUUUUUAGGCAAUUAUCGCUUAUACAUGUGUCUACCAUAUAAACUACGGUUAUUAGGUCAUAACCGUCAUUUAUAAGCUUCUUUUUUUUCACUCCAAAUCUUUCCAUCUUCGCACUUUUUCCUCUGUUGCUUCCAUUGUUGUCUUCUCUAUGAGUUGUCCUUGUUGUCAUUUCUCUUAUUCCUUGUAAUUUGUCUUCCUUAUUGUUUUUUAUGUUGUUUAUCAUACUUUUUGUGUUUUCUUGAUGGGGUUUUCUCCAUUUUCAGUGUUAAACGAGUGAGUUCCCAAAUCCGAAAUUGUUGCUUGUGUUCUCCUUGUCGUUGUUGUUGUGCGUCACCGCUGAAGCUCUUGAGAUCCUCUACAAUAUCUGUUCAUUUACCACAAUCUAUCUUUGUUCACCAUCUUGAGUUUCUGCAACCCGAAAGUCACUCUCGAAAAUUUCUCGACAUCAAAAUUGGUGGUUAUUUUUUUAUCUUCUUGACUUUCUUUUCUUCGUCCCACAUACAAUACCAAUUGUUAGGUUAUCAACAAUAACAAAAACAAGAAAAAUAAGAACAAGAUUGAAGAAAACAUUUUAGGAUCACCUACGCUAUAUGUGACGGUUCUGUACAUAAGUAUCGUCUAUAAUGAUCUAAUAGACUAUGAUUGUGUGAUCGUAUAUAAUUAAAAACUAUAGACGAUAUGUGCAUAGACUACAAGUCUAAAAUUGUCAUCUAAAGCCUUUAAAAAUCAUUGUCUAAAGAUAUUUUUACAGUAAUGUAUAGGUAAAAAAAAAUUAAUUUACAUUAAUAUGAAUUAUUUUCUUGUUGAGAUUAUUUAUCCGUCAAUAUACAUCAUAACACUAUUUAUCUUUCAAUGUUUGUUAGAUUUUCCUCAACUAAUGUCUGAGAGGUAAUAUUUUUAGUAAACAUGGACUAAUUGAUAAGUGUCAAUGUGUAGUUUUUAUGAUUGAGAAAAUUGAACACUUUGAAACUUAAUUGUUGUUUAAUGUAAGAAAAUUACCCUAAUCUGAGAAUUAUUGAAUCUGAUUAUGUAUUUUGAACCAAGAAAUAAAUGAAGAAAUUUAAUCUCAAUUUUUAUGUAAAUUGCAGAUGAAUAUGAAGCAUUAAAAGAAAGAAAGCAAAAACUUAAUUGGAUCACCAGAAUAUUUAGCUCAAGCUAGAGGAUUUAGCUCAAGCUAAAACUGUUCAGAUUUGAUUAAAGGUGCAGUACUAAUCUAGCUCAGGCUAUAAUUGCUAGCUCAAGCUAAAAAUGCACCGAAAGAUCUAGCUUAAGCUAAAUUGGCUAGCUUGAGCUAAAGUUCAUUAUAUAAAUUUUGAAACACAACUCUAAAGGAAGCGGUGGAAAAAGAUUGGGUUUUUAUAUAGAGAGAGAUUAGUGAGAGAAAGAGAAGAAACCUCUGUUCUUAGGAGAAGAACUUGCUCAGAUCAACCCUUCUUAUGCAAUCCAGAUCAAGAAUGAAGAUUGAAGGAGCUGUCAUGAGUGGCUAAGUUCUUUCUAACUUGGGAUUGAAUGUAAUUUACCUUGAUCAAAUGUAUUUUUGGUGAUAUAUUAUAUAAUAUUAUCUUGGUAUUUUCGUUUUAUGCUUAUUGCUUGAUUUUGUCUAAUCAAUAGAGUCUUGAUUUUGAUCCUUAAAUUUAACUGGAAAGUACCUUUAAGGAUCUGAAAUAGACGAAAAUACUUGAUAACUUGUAAUGCUAGGAAUAAAUUUCAGGUUAUUAAUUGCAUCAUAAUUAUGUUCAUAAAGUUGGAUGAUUUGUUAGAUAUCUGAGGAAUCAGUAUUUGAAAAAUUAUCUUAUGAAUUUCAUAUGUCAGGAAUCAAGGUGAAUGACUUUUUAAAUUAAUAAGCAUUAAGAAUAAGUAGUUUUGAGUAUUAUAUAUUGUAUUAUUCAAAAUACAGAUGAUUGAGAUAGACGCAAUUCAAUCCCAAGUAUCUUUCUCUAUAUUUGAUAAGUUAGUUUUGGUUUUGGUUGAAUCAAACCCUAACUCUCCGAGUUAUUUGUGAAAUCUUUAAUUUGGUUAUGAACAAAGUCUUAAAAUUAUUUUCUAUACUUAAUGAGUUUUACAACAUAACAUCUUAAUUAGAAUUGUUCUCUGUGGGUUCAACAUUCGUACUUUAAAGAGUACUAUAUUACAGUUGAUUCGAUACAUUUGCCGAGAAAAAUAUCAACACUAACACUACAAGAAAAUAAUUAAAUAGAAACUAAUUUUAGAGAGAAAAAGUGACUAAACUAGAUAUUAUUUUAAAGACUAAAAAAAUCAUUGGUUUCUAAAUUAGUUUCUAUUAGUGAUAAAUAGUUUAUAAAUUGGUAUCUAAUUAGCUACAAAGAUUUUUGCUACCAAAUUUAGAAUCUAAAUAGUUGAUAAUUAAAACCUUGAUAGCUAAUUAGAUACCAAUUUAGAAACUAUUUAUUAAUAAUAGAAACUAAUUUAGAAACCAAUUUAGUUUCUAAAAUGAUAUCUAAUUUAGGUUCUAUAGCAACUAAUUAUUUUUUUUCUCUAAAAUUGGUUUUUAUUUAAUAAUUUUUUUUAGUGUAAAUGUUUUUAGUUGAAACUUUGUCGUAUUUAGUUUUUUAAAUUUUUGUCCAUAUUUACAGUUCAAAUAGUAGUUUUUAUAUUUGGUGACAAUUGAAAUACUCCAUUCAAUCUGAAAAUUUUAAAAUUAUUAAAUUAUUUUAUCAAAUAAAAUAUUUAAAAAUUUAAACAAUUUUAAAUAAAAUAAAAAAAUAGGUAAAUGUAUUUCAAAUUUCUGGUACAAAUUUCUCAUUCCAUAGAUAUCUUUACAUAUUAUAACUAUUUUUAACAAAGUAUCAACAUAAUAUUUGUAUUGGUUUGGGAUUUAAGUAAAGAAUUGUGUUAUUUCAUUGUACUACCAAAGAACAAACACUAAAAAAAAAAAUCACGAAAUAAAAACCAAUUUUUAGCAUUUUAGAAACUAAAAAAAAUUGGUUUUUAAAUUAGUUUCUAAUAUUGUGAAAUAGUUUCUAAAUUGGUAUCUAAUUAGCAACCAAUGUUUUAACUACCAAUUAUUUAGAUUCUAAAUUUGGUAGCAAAAACCUUAGUUGCUAAUUAGAUACCAAUUUAGAAACUAUUUCACAAUAAUAGAAACUAAUUUAGAAACCAAAUUUUUUUAGUCCCUAAAAUUGUCUUCAACUUAAUCACUAUUGCAACUAAUUAUUUUGGUUUCUAAAAAUUGAUUUCUAUUUCAUGAUUUUCUUAUAGUGAAAGUGUAUAUUGUGUAUUUCUUUUGGAUGAUUUGAAUCAGAAUCUUUCUCUUGUAUCUGACUUCAAAUUUUUUAAGCUUGUCACAACUUCUAUUUGCCUAAGUCGAGUUGUUCUUAAGGCAAUUUUUAAGAAAAAAAAAGUAUUAACUUGAUCUUAAAGUUGAUCAUCUCACAAACUUAAAAGUUUACCAUAGAUACACAAGUUUUAGAAUCAUGGAACUUGUUAAGAAGUGAACUCAACCUUAUAACUCGCUCACGCCAAAAUCCUCCAAAUUCGAGUGAUUCGAUAGCGGCUCAAUAGCGAGUGGUAUGAUAAUGUCAAUAAACUCUACUUAUGAUAAAGUUUAGAUGACUCUGAUAAUAUAUUUAAAAGUGGACUUUAAGUUUAACUAAAGCUUAUCAAACUGACUUAAGUGAGGUUCGCAAUUACUUAUAUAUUAUGAAUUAUCCUAAUUUCUAUUUGAUGUAUUAGAACUUGAGGUUGAUGUUAUUCAUUGAAAGAGGGGACAUUUUUUUUCCUGGUAUAUAUAGAUAACUCAUUCCUCUUUAUUCAAGCCACACACACAAAUCAUAAGAAAAAAAAUUCAUGGUUAUUAUAUAUGUCAUAAUGCCAGCGAAUAUAUUGUAUCAACACAACUGAAUUAAUCUCAGCCUCCUUUUUUCUUCUCGGAUAAGUACAUACAUAGAUACAUAUAGUGUUUUCAUUAUCAUCAUGCAGAACAGCCUAACAGAAGACAAAAUAAGAUGAAAUACAGUGGAAUUGUGGAAAGCAUGAAGAAGAAAAAGACUUUUGGAACUCAAUGGC